CCUCGUGAUCUAAUUAGUAGAUGUGCUUAAUUUCUGUUGGGCACAGGGAUUUGUUUCUGCAGUAAGUAACAUGCGCACAUUUCUACCAGCCAUUUACGAUGUAACAGUGGCUAUCCCUGAAAGCUCACCUCAACCAACUAUACUCAGACUGUUCAAGGGUCAACCGUCUGUGGUAAGUGUGAGCAGAAGCUCUUUUUUAUUAUCUCAUUUGAUGACUCAACGGUGAAGUUGAAUUAACAAAUGAACUUAUGAUGGUCGGAGUCCUUAGGAUUUAUGGUAAAUUGGGUUUCUUUCUACACACGUCUCUGUUGGCUUGAGAUUUAAACCAAGGAACUGAUUUGGCAGUUCACCGUAUAAUAUAGUAUAGAAAAUCAGACAAUACACGGACUUGCUACGCUUGUGCCAGUUAUGUUGUUAUGGCUUCCCAAAUGAAUCUUUCAAUCCAUUGAUUAACCUGAGAGUCUAAUAAAAUGAUUAAAGAGUGUUUUUAUGCUUCUUUCAGGUUCAUGUGCAUCUCAAACGGCAUUCAGUGAAGGACCUUCCUGAUACAGACGACGCCAUUGCCCAAUGGUGUAGAGAUUUAUUCGUGGCCAAGGUUCGUUCACCGUUUAAAAUCUGCCGCAGUUGAUUAGUUUUCUGGUACCGCACCUUAGGGAACAAGUUAUGACAAAACUUAGAAUGUGAUCUAACUUAUACCGAUUUAUCGAUGACUUUAUAGUCAACAGAGCCCAUAAAUCUUGCUACUUGUCGUGGAUCACAAGUUCAAUCCACACCCAACCCUCGACAGAAAGAAAUUUCAUUUGUUGUAUUGAUGUGUUUAUGCCAUUAGUGUUUUUAUCUCACCAGGAUGUACUGAUAGACAAGCACAACGCUGAUGGCACAUUCAAGGACCAAGAGCUGCAAAACUUAGGCCGACCAGUGAAGUCUCUCAUGGUGAGGCACCACUGUCCACUUAUCGGUCUCUCGUGUUACAAUCAUUCUCCAUACACUUCCCUAAUUCGUCCUCACCGUGUGUAUGUCCAGGUCGUGGCUUCAUGGGCAUGCUUACUCGUAUUCGCAGCCUUGAAGUUCCUCCAGUGGUCCUCCCUUCUAUCCACAUGGAAGGGCAUUGCCAUUUCGGCAGCUGGUCUAGCCGUCGUGACACUACUCAUGCAGGUCCUGAUCCGAUUCUCCCAGUCGGAGCGAUCAACCCCGGCCAAAGUUGCCCCCACCAGAGCCCAAGAGCUUAAGCAGCAAUGAAGUUGAUUCCCGCAAAGGUUCUGAUAUUAGGCUUAAGGUCUGGUUGGUAGUUAGAAAACGAUACACAAUUAGGGGGAAAACGUGAAUUUUAGGGCAAAUUGGUGUAGAUUGUAAGUCACGUAUUUGGGGGGGUUUUCCAGGAUGUGUAUGUAAGCACUAUUCACUAAUCAGUGUUUGUUAAUGAAACCGUAACUUUCUUUAUCGGAUUCAUUAGUAUAUUAUGCCACGAUGUUGGUUCGGUUCGGUUUCGGUACUAGAUCAUUAGGGUUUUAUCCUGUUUCUUGCUUUGAAAGAAGGAGGGGUACGAGAGUUGAACGGAGAUGAAGAGAUAGUAAAGCACAAAACACCAUCUUCAACUUGAAUCGAUGCCAAUAUGAGUGAGGUUAUAAAGGAUAGAGGCUCGGGAGAGAAAUUAGAGGGCAAAGCAAGUUCGAGAGUGCGCCUUACGGACAAAUGUCGGGGAAACUUGGUGGCAUUUAGCGGACAUUGUAAUAGAGAAGAGGAAGGUAGAAGAGAACAGAGGGGUCAACACUCGCCGACGAUCCUCUUUCAUUUUCUGGGAGGUUCCAUCAUCGAAGAGGCGACUCGAAGGAGUUAGUCGAGGAGGAUGGCGAGAGGAAGAGCGAUGGUUUUAUUUUGUAUUUUAUUUAAUUAAAUGUAUGUUUACUGACGUAGCGUUGAUGUGGCAUGAAUAUGCCUUGCCCAAUUAACACUGUCUUUUUCCGUCAUAACCCGUUAAGUUUUCGAUUAAAUCUAACAAUCAAUUUUAACGUUGAUUUACUUCCGUCACAUAUAUAAUCCGUGCCAUCAAACAUAUUUCCGAUAAAUCAAACUAUCUUUUAUAAUAUCGCUAUAGAUCGUAAGUCCCAAAACUAUUAAGCCUAAAAUUUAACUAUUUACAAAUAACAAAUCAGAAACGAGAAGCAAGACAUAAACCCUCAAGUCCUCAACCAACCUUCUCCUUCUAAAACCUCUCCAAUACCCUAACCACAUCCGGCGACUGCCAUCCGACCACGCCGGUUCAGCCGCUCUGAACUUUCCUCCGCCGCUUCUACCUCAUGGAGGCCCUCACUGAGGUCCGUCCGUCCUCCUCCUCCUCACUCUCUCUGUUCGUGAGCUAAAAGCUCAGCUAAUGAAUCAACGACUGACCUGUUUUGCGACAACUUCACAUUAGAAUCGCGUCCUAGUUUCAAAAGCUUCGGUUUCAAUGCUGAGCUACGGAUGGUUGAUGAGUUUCACAGCUUCCUAUCCCUUUUCGUUGUUCUUAUUGUUUCCUUCUUCCUCAGGUUGUGACCAAGGCGGUUGGUUCCGUGUCGUUCAGCGCCUAUUCAGCUGAUGAGGUCCGGAAGCUGAGUGUUCUCAAGGUUACUAAUCCGAUGUUGGAAACCGGUGACCCUGGCUCGGCUCUUAGUGAUCCUGCCCCUGGUGGUCUCUAUGAUCCCUCGCUAGGGCCUCUGAAUCGGUCUAUAAAGUAAGUCUUCAGUACAUCUUGGGGAUUUAUCGGGAGUCACUGGUCCCAGUUUCUGACAAUUGUAAUCCACAGCUUCCUGAUUUUUGUAUAAAGUUUAGUCUAAUAUGUAGCUGAUAUUCAAAUCGUUGUGCAGAUGUAAGACUUGUGGCCAGAAAUGGGAACACUGCCCAGGACAUUGUGGCCAUAUUGAGCUAGUUCUUCCGGCCUAUAAUCCUCUGCUGUUUAACUUUCUGUACAAAAUUCUUCACCAAACCUGUUUCUCUUGUCUUCAUUUCAGAGCUGAUAGUAACCAUGUAAGUUCACCCUUGAUUGCAGCUGAUACAUAUUUUGGAGUUCUUUUUUUUGCGUUAUGUAUUAGCUUGUGCUUUAUUUGUUUUUUUACCCCGUCUGAUCUUGGUCUUCUCUUUUCUGUUUCUUUCCACUUUCUACGUUUUGCUGCUUUGUCAAAAUAGGUUGCGAAGUGUGUUACUCAGUUGAAACUCAUCUCAAAAGGAGAUAUUGUUGGGGCUAAGUUAAUUGAUUUAGUCUCGGUAGAUGAGACUGAAACUCCUGAUGCAAGUGAAGGCAGCCAAGGAUCUGCAUCUACAGUUCAUUCGGGGUCACAAGCUCAAAAUGAUGACGAUAUGGAGCCACUUGAAUGGACCUCCCUUCAGUUUGCAGAGGCUAUGUCGAUCAUAUAUAACUUUCUGAAGAAAGGGACGCAGAAGUGCAAGCAAUGUGGUGCAAAAAACCCUAAGAUUAGCAAGCCUGCUUUUGGAUGGGUUAAAAUGGUAAUAGUUUUCCCAUGAUAUUUUCGCAAUUAUUAAGAGAGUUAGCACUAUCAUGGAUAUCAACACAUACUGUUUUCUGUUCUUGAUUCUUAAGCGUAUUCUCUUCAUAUAUUCAGUAUGCAAUUCUUGUGACUUCCAAAGAAUAUGUAUGCAGGGUUUUGGGUGUUGUCACAACAGCAAUAGAUUGAUAGAAAUAUGUCCAGACUUUUGAAUCUGAAUGGGUGCACCUUAACAGUUUUCAUUCUUGUUUCUGGGUUUGUAUUAGGAAAUUAUGCUAUAAUGCUUCAACUCUCUGUAUUAAAAUUUCUAGCUAUAUUGCAAGCUCAUUCUGGCUGGUUUCUUUCUGCAGGAUGGCAUGUCUGAUAGUGCUAUCAGAGCAAAUAUAAUAACAGGGCGGCACCUAUCAGGGCUGUUAGAUGGUGAACCUGAUAUAGAGGAUGAAGAUGAACGCAUGACGAACCCUGGCAAAGCUUUUGCCAGCCAGAAAAACUCAGGAUCCUGCCAUCUUCUCCCAAAACAGGUGUGCUGGGGACCUUUUCCCAUGUCAUAGCUAAUUUAUUUGUGUAUGAUGUCCAUCGAAAUCCAGCUUCGACAAACAUUUUCAUAUUUCAUCUUUUUACAGGUGAAAUCAAUAUUAGAAAUUUUAUGGGAGAACGAGAAGGCUUUCUGCAUGAUCAUGAGUAAUAUUCAGCAGAAAAGACUGAGUGGCAAUCAAGCAGGCCCAUCUAUGUUUUUUCUUGAAGUUAUUUUAGUAGCUCCAAUCAAGUUCCGUCCUCCUGUAAAGGGGGGUGAUGCGGUGAGUAUGGAAUGUUUAUUUUAUGGCUUCAUGAAUAAGUUUUACUGGAAUGUGUUCCUUGUUUUUUUUUACUUCUGCACGUUGCGUUUUUUACGUCUCAAAUGUGGAUAAAUUACAGUGGACGGUGUAAGGAUGGUUUUGGUAUAUUAAAACUUGAAGGAAUGGUGUUAAUUGACCAAUUUUUGUUUACAUUCUCUAUGAUGAUAUUUCAUGGUACGUUAUUAUUACUCAAUUUUCAAACUUACCAGCCUUCGCCUUGGGUUCAAGUGAACUCAUCAAUUUGUAAAAUGUUGAAGCAUGAUUGUUUCUUCUGGUGUCAGUAAUGCAUUUCUGUCUGAAAUGCUCUUCUCCCCCAUAAGUUGCAUUUGUAUAUUUAACGUGAAGAUUUUGUCAAUGAUUACCCAGUAGAAUAUUACCAACUUGAUAUCGCCCUUUCAUGGUCUUGAUUUGAGUUUUUAUUCGUGCCACUACCUGUCUGUCUGACGUACCGUCCCUUUGUCUUCUAUUUAUUUAUGGUUCCUUGCUGUUGGGAGCUUUUAUCGCACAUCACGGCAGUCUUGGAAGCGUUCCUCUUGGUUUGCAUAAUUGAGUGAAACAGAUACGUAAAUUGGCAUGGAAACAUUAACUUUUUGAAUCUUUUAUUUAGGUCAUGGAUAAUCCUCAGACCGUUCUACUAGGCAAAGUGCUGCAAGCUAAUUUAGCUCUGGCGAAUGCUCAUGCUCAUGCUAAUACGGAUGAAGUGGUUAGAAAGCGGUGGCUAGAUCUUCAACAAUGUAUAAAUAUUUUGUUUGAUAGCAAAUCUGCUAAAGGUAAUUUCCGUCCUAUAUUUGCUCCUAGUUUUUCCGUACUUUUAAGAAACAAAACUGUAUCUAAGAGAGGAAGAAUAAAGUCAGUAUCAUUGUAAUCAUUAGAAAAACAUAGUACAUACAAUGAACUCUGUUGCAUCACCUAUGUCUAGAGAAGUAGCACUCCAUAUUCUCAUUCUGAACUGAUUUAUAUAUUGCAUUACAAAAGCAGAGUAAAAAAUGAUAGGUUAUCUUUGUUUAAAGAGGUAAAGAUGGCUAAUCAGUCAGACCUCGAUUCUCAUUUGGCACUUUGGGGUCUCCUGUCUCUUCUCUUUUUCAUUUAAGCAUUCUAUCCAUGCCUUGUUUUCAUGGUUGAUUGAAGCAGACUAACUCUUAUGUCCUUUUGAGUCUUGCAAUGUCAAUUCUGUGCCGUAAAUGCUUUUUGAGGCUUCGUCUAGUACCAAUAUGUGUUGCUCAUACUGUGAUAAUUGCUGGUUCCGAAUGUAUGUAGGUCCCGGUGACAAAGAAUUGUCCAAUGGAAUAUGUCAAAUACUUGAAAAGAAAGAAGGCCUGUUUCGUCAAAAAAUGAUGGGGAAGAGGGUUAAUUAUGCUUGUCGCUCAGUUAUAUCCCCGGAUCCCUACUUAGGAGUAAAUGAAAUAGGAAUUCCACCUUGCUUUGCCAUAAAGUUGACUUAUCCUGAGGUGAGUUAUUUGAUCUAGAUUGGUAUAUGGUUGGAUGUCUACAUAGCUAGAUGAAUGUAUUUAGUUACUAUCAUCCACUCAGGUUUUAAUUUGUAAGUUGAGCUUGUAAUUGACGGCCACUUGUUUAGCGUAAGGAAACAAUGAUGAAUUUGUGAGGUUAAGCUAUCUUAAAAUACAUUGUGGAUAAGGCACGUCUUUUGUGACUAUAUUCUUCUAGGAAUCAUGAGCAUUACAGAAAUAUGUUGUUGGCUGUAGUUAAAACUGAAUUUAUCAUGUGAGGAUGACAAUGUAGAUCAAUAUGUGUGAAAAAGAUCAAAGCCUCUUUUAUAAUCAAACAUUUAGUAAUGAAAAUGUUUUUUUCUUUAUUUGUUUGGCCCUUUUUGGAUCAUUCCUAAUUAGAGGGAGAUUGGAAAGACUACACUCGGCCUUACGGUUUCAGUAGUCUGAUUCAAAUGUACAGCACUUUCCAGUCUUGUAUUACUAUAUUCUAUAUGAUCUGAAAGAUGAAAUAUUUUUUUAUUUAACUGAUCAUGUUGUUGUCCAUGAUGGAAAGAUGCGUAUUUAGUGAGCAUUUUGCAAUGAUAUUGCAUUUUUUCUAAAAGUUAAUUUUCUUAUUCUUUCAGCGAGUGACUCCAUGGAAUGUUGCCAAAUUGAGGAAUUCUGUAAUAAAUGGGCCGAACAAUUAUCCAGGAGCAACUCAUUUGGUUGAUAAGUCCAUUAAUAUACUACAAUCUAGCAAGAAAUCUCGGGCUUCACUAUCAAGGACGCUACCUUCGGCUACAGGUGCUCUCCGAGAACAUGGGAAGGGUUCUAAUUGCGCAUAUGAAGGAAAAACUGUCUAUCGCCACUUGCAAGAUGGGGACAUUGUGCUCUGCAAUCGACAGGUGUGUUGCAGUAUAUAUUAUUAAUCUACAAUUCCGGGCGACUUACUGAUCUUAGCAUUUAAGUUGAUGUUUGUUGAAGGCAUUGUGAUCGGAAAUGCUCCUUGUACCUAGUUAUGGCAUGGCUAGGUCCUAAGUGGUUUCUUAACAUAUUUGAAUUGAUGAUUCAGUUUCAUGAAAAGUAAUAGUUAGAAAGGUUGCAUCAGUUGACAGGGGACUUUGUGCAAGUUUUAUACACUCGAUCACUUGCAUUGUUAAACCCUGUUUUAUUUCACUGUCUAAAUUCAAUGAAGCUAGUUCUUUGACAUUGCUUUUUCACCUUGCAGCCGACACUUCAUAAGCCUAGUAUAAUGGCACACGUCGUCAAAGUGCUGAAAGGGGAAAAGACACUUCGUAUGCACUAUGCCAAUUGCGGGUCUGUAUUAUUGUGUCUCUAUAUUUCAUAUAAUAAGUGCUCAGCUGUUCUCAAACAUGCUUUACUAAGUUAGAAAAUCUUCCUCUCAUGAGUGCCUCGGUUCUUAUUCCAGUACAUACAAUGCUGACUUUGACGGUGAUGAAAUGAAUGUCCAUUUCCCACAAGACCAUAUUUCCCGUGCCGAGGGGUACAACAUUGUCAAUGCUAAUAAUCAAUAUGUCAAGCCUUCGAAUGGAGAACCCCUUCGCAGUCUCAUCCAGGUUUGUGGUUCGUUUCCGUUUUAUUAUGACAGUUCCAUGUAUUCUAUUAUAAUGCUAUGCCAAUGACUUUGUGCACCUUUAUUUUUCAGGACCAUGUUAUUGGUUCUGUAUUGCUUACGAAGAGGGAUACAUUUUUGUUCUUAGAAGUGUUCUACCAGUUAUUAUAUAUCUCCGGUGUCUUCACUUCUUCUAGGACUUCUUUCAGUGGAAAAUCUGGCCAGAAAGUUUUUCUGGCUUGUCCUGAAGACGCUUUUCAGAUUUUCCAACCUGCAAUUCUCAAACCGAUCCCUCUCUGGACUGGAAAACAGGUUAGUAUGUAAUGGUGUUUUCACUUCCUCAAUGUAAUUCACUUGUUUUACUUACUAUUUGGUGUUCCACUUGUGGAUUAUUUUCACCAGUUAUUAUUUUGGCAUGUUUAGGUCAUUACUGUUAUCCUAAACCUUAUAACAAAGGGUCAUUCCGUCACUGUGGAAAAGGAUGCGAAGAUAUCCAGUGACUUCUUCAGGAGCAAAAGUACCAAACGUGACAGAAUUUCUGAAAAAAGAAGUGAAGGAGGCUCCAUUAAAAUAAAGCCCGACGAGGAGAAGAUUUUGGUAUCUAAAAAUGAAUUGCUUCGUGGUGUUAUUGACAAAGCUCAGUUUGGUGAAUAUGGUUUAGUGCACACAGUUCAGGAACUCUUCGGCUCAGAUGCUGCAGGCACCCUUCUAUCCAUUUUCAGUCGAUUGUUUACAGGUUACCUGCAGGUACUUUUGAUUUCUUUAACCAUUGAGGCUUCUUUUGGACUUGUGGAUUCGUUUUAAUCUAGCAUCAUUACAUCUGUUUAUGCUGUAUUGAACUACUCAGAUGCACGCUUUCACAUGCGGGGUUGAUGAUUUGUUGAUAUUGAAAGACAAAGAUGAAGCAAGGAAGAGACAGCUUGAAGGGUGCGAGAAGGAUGCUGAACUUGUGCAUCGUCAUUUUAUUGGGAUUAAAGAUGAGAAGCUAAGGAUAGGUGGGUUCUCUCUUGUUAGUAUGCUACUUUGCUUUUUCUGCAAUUGGAACAUCAUUAGUUACAAUAUUUCCAUCGCUAUAUGACUGGAAUUAGCAUACUUUCUGCGAGUGCCUCACCUCUAUCCGCAUUAACUCAACAUUCUUAUUAUUCAUUUGGUAAAUGUCAGGUAGGGGAAUGUCAUCACCGUAGUUGCCUCGAAUAAUUGAAUUUGAUAAAAUUUGUUAUAACCUUUGCUUACUUUUUAUCUUGAGAAACUCAUUUACCUAAGCACUUGCUCAGAACAGCUGAAUAUAUGAAAUCAUAGGAGUUUUCUAUUUUGAGAGUUAUGACAAUGAAUCAGUACCAAAUCCUUUUAUUUCCUUACUCUGGAUGAGGCGAACUUUUUUGCUAAUUGUACUCUUGACUGAGAAGUAUCUUCUGUCAUAUUGACUAGUUCCCUUGUUGGAAUCACCGGUGUAAUACGACCUGCUAUAAUGUGUAAUGUUUCUGGUUUUCCUGUUACCAGAGCCUAAAGACUUGCAAUUCAAUAUCGAAAAGAUAAUGCGAAGUGAAGGGGAAUCUGCUGUGACAUAUUUGGAUAACCAGAUGAGAAGUGAACUUAAUUCCAAAACAAACUCGGGGGUUAUCAGUGAGCUGCUAUCUGAGGGGGCUGUUAAACUCUCUGUGCAUAACUGUAUAUAUCUUAUGACGACUUCAGGCGCCAAAGGUAGCAAGGUAAGUGUUGAGCACUUUUUGAAAGCUUGCUGAACACUACUGAUGUUUCUUUAUCGGAAAUUAUAACCAAGAAUAGUCCGUUUAAUGCAUUGUUCCAAUUAAUGUGCAGGUCAAUUUCCAACAGAUUUCUUCUUUUUUGGGUCAACAAGAAUUGGAGGGGAAAAGGGUCCCUCGGAUGGUUUCUGGAAAGACAUUACCCAGCUUUCAUCCAUGGGACUGGGCAGCCCGAGCUGGCGGAUUUAUUAUCGAUCGUUUUCUUACGGGUCUCCGUCCUCAAGAAUAUUAUUUCCAUUGCAUGGCUGGUCGAGAAGGGUGAGUCGACUUCCAUGUUAGAAUGCUUAUUGUUUGAUUUUAAGUCAGUUCAACGGAGUCUUGACUUUUCAUUAUCAAAUUAGUAUUAUGAGUAUAAUAAGUUAUUACCACAUAGAUGCGUGUAUAAUUAGGAGGACGUACGUGGAAGACUUUGUAAUCUACCGGUUAAGUAUUGCAGGUUAGUUGAUACAGCAGUGAAGACAUCACGUAGUGGAUAUCUGCAAAGAUGCCUGAUAAAAAAUCUCGAGUGCCUGAAGAUAAGUUAUGAUCAUACUGUUCGUGAUGCUGAUGGCUCAAUUAUUCAGUUUCAAUAUGGAGAGGACGGCGUCGAUGUUUCCCAAACCAGCUUCCUUGCCAAAUUUGAUUCAUUAGCGAAGGUAAUAACUGCUUCGCUGUACGCUGAAAUUCUUCACUGAUACUAGAACCCUUUUUUAUUCAUACUCAUGAUCUGAAACUUCGUCUUGGCCAGAACCAAGAAGUAAUUUUCAAAACAUGCGGUCAGCAGCCUCCUAUGUUCAACAGCUACAUCUCCGAAUUGCCCAAAUCUCUGAAAGACAAAGCAGACAAUUUCCUGGACGAUUCCUCCUUAAUGGAUCGAAUCUCUUCAAAUAUGGUAAAGAAGGCAGAUGUUCAUAACUUGAUGAAGCUGAAGUUUCUCCGAAGCCUUGCUCAGCCUGGAGAACCAGUUGGUGUGCUUGCUGCUCAAUCUGUUGGAGAACCAUCGACACAAAUGACGUGAGUGUUUAUUCUUAUGCUGUUCAGUUUUCGGAAUGCUUUGUUCUCCCAAGUCCUAUGUUAACCUUAUUCUAUUAUUUUUUUACUAUCAGAUUGAAUACGUUCCAUUUAGCCGGACGAGGUGAGGCAAACGUCACAUUGGGUAUCCCUCGUCUUCAAGAGAUCUUAAUGAUGGCUUCAAGUAAAAUCCAGACUCCAAUUAUGACCUGCCCUUUGAAAGAGGGGAAAACUAAGUAAGUAUUCUUGGUUACUUGCUUACCAAGCUUCUGCAGCUACUAACUAUUAGCUUCCAUCUUGGAUAUUCAUAUUCUCGAUAUAAUUGUCACUUGCAGAGAGGUGGCAGAUCGCCUUGCUGAUAAAUUUAGAAAGAUCAGGGUGGCAGAUAUAGUAAAGAGCAUGGAGGUCUCUGUAACUCCGUUUGCCGUUCAGGACUGGCAAGCUUGUAGAAUUUACAAGCUGAAAAUGAAGCUUCACAGGCCUGCACAUUACCCGGCACACGCAAAACUCGACACAGAAGACUGGGAAGAAACUUUAGAAGGGCAGUUCGUGAGGGGUUUGGAGGAUGCUAUACAGAAUCAUCUAAUCCUGCUCUCCAAAAUCAGGGGCAUUUCCAACUUUGUGGCUUCGAAAUCGAAGCCUUCGGGUGAUGAUACGGAAGGUGAGGGUGUUAGUACCAAAAAGAAGUCGUCCAUUAGUUUUGAUGAUGAUGGUGAUGACGAUGGUGCCUUCGGUGAUGGUGAAGAGACUGAGGAUCUUGGUUCAGAUGCACGAAAACAGAAAAGUCAAACUACCGAGGAUGUUGACUACGAAGACAAUGACGAAGAUGAUCAUGUCAAUCCCGAGGGUUCAGUGACCACCAUGGGUGGAUCUGGUUUCGAAAGUGGUAGCGGAAGUGACACCGAUGAAGCCGAGAAUCGGGAUGCGGAUGAAAUGGUCGACGAAGGAAAUUCGGGAGCCUCCUCGAAGCGUAAUUCCGCAAGCGAUUCUCCAGCGAAAACGAAGAAGGAUAAAAGCAAAACAGAAGGCAAAAGUAACAAGCUGAAGAGAACUAUUGCAAGGAAAGAUUACGACAGAGCGAUUUAUGUGGCGGCAAAGGGAUUCCACUUUGAGGUCCAUUUCAGGUUCACCAAUGAACCUCAUAUUCUUCUCUCCGAGGUAUAUUGUAGUAUUAUUGCUUCUGUCUUUUUAUUCUUUUUUUUUGUCUAUUAUCGCGAUUUUAAGCUUUCCGAGGUAUCUCGAUUUUGUAGAUUGCACAGAAGGUUUCGAAGGUGGGUUUUAUUCAGAACCCCGGGAUGAUUGAGCAGUGCCGUGUUACAGACUGCAAAGACAGUCAAGUGAUCUAUUACGGGAAAGACCCAAAGAAGAGGGUGGCCAUCAAACCGGACGAGAAGAAGAAAAUCCCUGCAUUGCAAGCCAUGGGAGUCGAGAUCAAGUUGUUCUGGAAGAUGCUGAAGGAUCUCGACAUCAAUUACAUAUACACCAACGACAUCCACUCCAUUCUCAACACAUACGGGGUGGAAGCCGCGAGGGAGGCCAUAAUUCGAGAGAUCAAUCAUGUGUUUGGCUCUUACGGGAUAUCCGUCAGCGACCGCCACUUGUCUCUCAUAGCAGACUACAUGACCCACACGGGAGAGUAUCGGCCCUUGAGCCGUUUGGGUGGCAUCUCCAAGUCGGUAUCGCCCUUUACGAAGAUGUCGUUUGAGACUGCUUCUAAGUUCAUCGUUCAAGCUGCAUUGCACGGGGAGACGGAUUAUUUGGACGCCCCGUCUGCGAGGAUAUGUCUCGGGUUGCCCGUGAAGAUGGGUACCGGGUCUUUCGAUGUCAUGCACUCUUUUGAUGUCAUGCCCGAAUUGGAAAUUUGAUAGGUUUCGGAAGAGAGUUCGGUCGGUUUAGGCUUGUGAUCUGAAAUUUUUUGCCCGGUUUUGUUUCUUAGAAUGUUGCAAGUACUUUGUAUUCUAUAUGGUUAUCGAAUUCCAUGUAUACUCGGGUAAUCUCACUUCUCAUUAAUGAAAAUUGAAUGAAAUCGUCGCGAACAAGUACGAAGUCGUUUCACCUCCUACGAAUUAUUAAUUGAAGUAUCCAGUUAGAUACUUCAUCACGCAAAGACAGAAUAUAUAGAUUCUUUCUCGGCCACAAGUUAGAAGAUUCAUGUGGGACCCCAGCUCCCGCCAGAAAGAAUAAAAAAUUAAAAACCAGAAAAUGAACCGUAAAAAUUCAAACCACCGCCAAACUGAAACUCAGUCCACCGAUCACCAGUUCACCACCACCACCAAUGGACUCUCUCCGCCGCUCACCAACCUCCACUUCCACGAUACGGACCCAGAGCCAGCGAUGUCUCAUAUCCGAGAAGAAGAGAUGGACUAUGAGAUUCUCCAAUCACGCAUCCGUCAAUCGGACUGCAAGGAGAACGGUGACGGCGUCGUCCUAUAACGGCGGCGGAGGUAAGGAUCGUGAUGAAUCUCCGAUGCGAAAGUCGAUUGGGAAAGGUGUCGUCGGUUUCGCCGCUGCCGCCGCCACUCUGGCUGCCGUUUGCUGCUCCGAACCUCCUCCGGCUUCCGCCGAGUCUCUCACGGUUGCCUUCCCGGUUUCCCGUGCUCGUGAGGUGGCGGCCCUCUUCUUAUUUUUCUUACUGAUCGUAAUUUGUUAUGUCUUGGUCCGAUUUAAUUUUGGGCUCUCAAGGUGUUUGUGAUAUUUAUUGCCCGUUAGGUGAAUACAGUUCAGAGGACGCUUAUUGAGGCAUGGGGUUUGAUCAGGGAGACGUUCGUAGAUCCAACGUUCAAUCAUCAAGGUAGUUCUUCUGGCUACCUCUCUGUUUCUCUACCGUCUAAGAUUUUCGUUUCCAGUGACUUGCAGAUUGAGCUUUUGGAUUUUCUGUUUUGCUUGAACUAGAUUGGGACUUAAAGCUGCAGCAAACCAUGGUGGAGAUGUUUCCACUAAGUUCAUCUGAUGCUGCGUACAAAAAAAUCAGUGGGAUGCUUUCGACUCUCGGGGAUCCCUUCACUCGGAUUAUUAGUCCAAAGGUACGUACCGUCCAUUUCACCUGAACAAGCAAGGAGAGAUUUGCAUUUGGCUAUAUCUCGAUGAUGUGGGUUUAAUUACUGUUUGCUUACAGGAAUACCAGAGUUUUAGAAUCGGCAGUGAUGGGAAUUUGCAAGGAGUGGGCGUGUUCAUCAACUUGGAACCCAAAACCGGCCAUUUGGUUAGUGUGAUUUACGAGAGUCUACUCUUUUGGUUUCUGAGAAAGGUACUAAUAGUCUAAUAGGCUUCUUCUGGUAGUGCAGGUUGUCUUAUCUUGCAUAGAGGGAGGACCGGCUGCUCGUGCUGGAAUACAGGAGGGCGAUGAGUUGAUCGAGAUUGAUGGUAUUUCAGCCAACUUGCUGUGACCAUUGAAGUUAGAUACCGGGUUUUUCGUUCUGUUUCUUCUUAUCUAUAUGUCGAAAAAUCUGGUAUUGUGCAAUUGUUCUUGAGGUAGUUUAUAAUGCGUUUGUAUGAUAAAGGGGAAAGCUUCUAACAUCAGGUCCAUUCAUGGAAAACAUCAGGUGAGCAAUUGCAUGGCGUGGACAGCGAGGUGGCAGCACAGAAGCUAAGAGGACGAGUUGGGACAUCUGUAACAGUCAAACUCAGUGUAAUCGAUCAAGCCUCUUCCCUUUCCCUCUUUGAGCAUCUUUGUCCAAUUCGGUCAAUAUGUACUCUGUUCAAAUGUUGCAUGAUUUGGAAUGGUUCUUCACUCCACAAAUUGAGAUCUUCGUAUUUCACGUACUUGUUCUGCAGAGCAAAGACUCAACAAGCCAUUCUGACAUUAGAGAGGUAUCGACAUUUCCAAUGCCUAUAAUACUUGCUUCUUACAUCUUCUGCCAUUGCACUGAGACCACCUGUAAGUCUGCUUGUAGGUCAAACUACCUCGCGAGUACAUUAAGCUCUCACCGAUUUCCAGUGCCAUCAUUCCACAUAGAACACCGGACGGUCGAUUAGCCAAGACUGGCUACGUGAAGCUGUCAGCCUUCUCUCAGAGCGCUGCUACUGACAUGGAAAAUACAAUCCAAGAGAUGGAACGUCAAGAUGUGCAUUCAUACAUCCUCGAUUUGCGCAAUAACCCUGUAUGUAUCCGAAUUUCAUGUCCAAAUGCCAUGAAAACAUAUUUAGAUGUGUCUACUAAAAAGGUUCGAACUUCCUAUCCGAAUUUUAUAUUUUUUUGCAGGGUGGUCUAGUGAAAGCAGGGCUUGACGUGGCGCAAAUGUGGCUAGACGGGGACGAGACCCUUGUGAACACAAUUGACAGAGAAGGGAACAUGUUUCCAAUCAACAUGGUCGAUGGCCAUGCCCUAACACACGAUCCGCUGGUUGUGUUGGUAUAGAACCCUACUCCUCUUUUAGUUUCCUUCCCUUUUGGUCACCUAAUUAUUCUUCCAGCAUUGUUAACAUGUUAAACAGGUGAAUGAGGGAAGUGCUAGCGCAAGUGAGAUAUUAGCUGGAGCUUUGCAUGAUAACGGGCGAGCCAUCCUUGUGGGGCAUAAAACUUUUGGAAAGGGCAAAAUUCAGGUAGUUUUUCAUCAAGUUUCUUCAUCAUUGAAAGUGAUGAUCUUAUGUAUGACUGUUAUUACGAUUAGUUUUUUAGUUUGAUUAGAAUGACUACAAUGUAGGUAUUGAUUCAUUGUCGAAACUCUUACCGAAACCUAUAACUAAUUCUACGAAUUGUGGUUCAACUGCAAAUUUCCAAAGAAUAUUGCAGACUGUAAUGCAGUCCCACCGAGUUAACCAUGGUUGGAACAUAAAGAACUGAUAGUGAGUAAUGAUGGGGUGGACAUUUCUCAUUUCUGCAGAGUGUGACAGAGUUGCACGAUGGAUCGGCCCUGUUUGUGACGGUAGCCAAGUACCUGUCUCCGGCACUCCACGACAUCGAUCAGAUCGGGAUCACCCCCGACGUGCAAUGCACGACAGAGGAGGUGCUGAGGGAGUUUUCCCAGACGAAGAACAACAGGGAGUCAUCGUCGUCCCUAGAAGCCGAUUCAUGCAUUAUGGUUGCGGAACACGAACUCGAGGUCCAGGAGUCUAGAGGGACAGCCUCGUGACAAAAGAGAAAUUAGAAUGAAGAAACCUUUGUAUAGAUUGUUAAUUGAUGUGUAUUAGUGGUUAGGUGAUUAUUGCCUUAUAGGGCUCAAAAGUAGGGUCUGUUAAUAUGUGGUUGUGCUAUGUAUCUAAUAUGAAAAUGAAUAUCACUAAACUAAACUUAAACAUAAGAUACUGUUUUAAUCCAAGUAUCUAAUGUGUUAGUUUUCUUAAUUUAUUGCUCUAUGAUCAAAAAGAUUAGCGCGAGUGGGCGCGUGGAAAACCUCUCAAACUGAGCCUGGUUUCCUCGACGUUUUGAUCGCCGACAUCGGAGAGUUCCCUCUGUGGGUGAGCUCCUUUGGGGCUCCCCGCUGUCUGGAGGCUCGCCGGCGGAUCUUUGGAUCUCCGGCCUUUGCCUUGCUCCUUGUCUUCACCCUUUCCCUUCCCUUUCUCUUCCUCUUCUUCUAUGAAUCUCGAGACCAAGGAAGUACCUACUUGGAUUAAACUUUGUAAUGUCCCUCCUCAGUUUUUAACAAACGCUGCAAUUGAAUGGAUGGUCAGUAGAAUUGAAGCUCCGAUUAACAAAUUUGUGAGAUCUAGCUUGGAUGUUAAAGUUUGCAUUUUGCUGAGUAAGGAUAAGGAAUGCCGGUCGAGUUUGCCUAUUUGGGUUGAAAAUAAGCGUGUUAUUAUUAGUAUUGAAACAUCAAAGAGUCGACCUAUGAUCAAUGAAUGGAGAAGGCUAAAGAGCAAAAUAAAGUAUGGAAACCAAUCCUCCCAAAAAGUAUAGCCAUGGUCAUGGGGUUAAUGUGUUGAGAAUGCAGUGAAAUACGAUGAUGAUGAUGCUGUUGUUUUCAGGUUUUACCGGAGAUCCAUCGUUGGUAAUAUAUGGUAUAAAAGAUGUCGAAAGAAUGUAAGAGAGAAUCCAAUUACAACUCUGCCUAUUGCUCAUAAGAUUUGUAGAGAAAUACAUUAUGUGAUGAAAAAAGUCUAGUUGUCUAGUUGAUUCCUGGAUUGUUGUGAUUGUUAGGACGUUUAUUUAGUUUUCUUUGUGAGCAGAUUUUGUAAGUUUUUCUUGGUGGUACUUCCAAAUUUUCUUCGGUAUACUGCAAUUUUGAUGAAAAAAAAGCUAUAUUCAUUGAAUAAAAAAAUUAUUUCUCUAUAAUCCAAAUAUUAUUUAUGUGGUUUGCUAAUUAGUUUAUAUAUGUUAUCCUUAUAAGCCAUGUGUCGUCCCAUAUGAUAUCAAAAUGAUGAUUAGGCGAAAGAUAACAAUAAGAUGCCAGUUGAAAUAACGGAUAAAGAGACAUUUAGCAAAUUGGUAAAGUAGGAGGGGGGAAACAGUUUUUAAUAAUACAGGACCUCGAUUGUAGUUAAAAAAAGUAGAAGGUGCAAAACUACUAUUGUUCCAAAAGGUCUUUUUACCGUUUGACAAUUGAUAAAUGAAUACCUAGAAAUUGGUUGAUGGACCAGUUAUAAUAUAAUAAAAUGACUGGACCAGUUAUAGGCCCAAUAAGUAUAGCCACGGUCGGCCCAAUAAGGUCACGAGAACAACAGGUAAAAGCGCGGGAAGUAGAAAAACGGAGGAGAGAGACAAGGGGUUUUUAUUCUUUUAAUCAAACCCUAUGCGUCUACGUCCGAAUUCUAUAUUCUCACGUAACUACCGAAUUAUGGACGGCGAAUCGCCCAUUACUAACGGAGAAAUCUCUUCCGCCGAGGUAGCACCGACGCCGGCGGCGGCUCUGCUUCCUCUUCCACCUAUAUCGGAAGCGGGGGAUGGACGUGAGGCCGGAGAUGGACACAAUGGCGAUGAGGAGGAAACGAAGGAGGAGGACGAUGACGAGUUGAUUGACAAGGCGCAGCGGUUAAUGGAAAAGAUUAGUGCCGCUCCUGAAAACCCUAGUGCUUCCGUUCUCCACGCUCUGUCUUCUCUCCUCGAAACUCAGGAGUCUCUGUAAUUAUUCUUUCGCCUUCUCAGCCUUUACUGUUUUUGGAUGAUCGACUGUUUUGCUUGUGUUCCGUUUAUUUCAAAUGCAUAAUUCCCCUCCCCGUUUCGCCAAUUGUGUUGAGCUUUUAUUUUGUAUAUGUGUUUGCGCCCUUUCUGGCUGAGUGUUAUAUAGAGUCGCUAGCUUCUCAGUUAUAACCGUAAUUUGAGAAUAGGAACCCGAUGCUUCUUUAGUUUGCUGACUGUAGAUGUUGCAUGAGCUCGGGAAAAAAAAUGUAAUUUCAGUUUCUACUCAGACUGGUAUCUACGUUUUGUCAUGGACAUUUCUUAAAGGGGAUACCCGGUUUUCUGGAAUGAAUGAGAAAUUGAUAUUGGUUUAUGAGUUCAAAUCUACAUUAGCACAAUAUGUAUAGCCAAGCUACCUGGAUUGCUGUCUCAUAUCCUCUACCUUUUCACCGAUGUCCAAUCAAAUCUCCUUGUUGACUUUGGUGUAUUCUGUGCAGAUAUGUCGAAGAGAACGGACAUUCUUGUCCUAAUACUUCUCGUGCUUCCCACCAUAUUGGUCGUCUUGGAAACUUACCUCGGGUACUUUUGCUUGAGUUCUAUACAUUUAGGAAUUCUAUCAUUCUGUCUUUUUGACAUUCCUAAUUGCAUGUUGCUGACUCGUAGUUUUGAGUUGGUCUUUUGGUUUCCUCCAACUUCUGUGCUGAUAGUGCACCGUAACUUCUUUCACAGGGCAAUGAUGAGUUUUUUGACUUGGUAUCUUCUAAGAUUCUUGCUGAGACGAGAUAUUCAACUGCCGUCCAGGCAGCUGCUGCGAGGCUUCUUAUGAGCUGCUCGCCAGCGUGGAUUGAGAACGAGAAUGUGAGUAGUUGGUUCGGUUCAUUUAUUUGCACUACCACAUUCCCUCCUAUUAAUUUUAAUCUGCUUUAGGCCAUCUUUCUAUUACUGACACAAUUAAUUGCUUGUUGAACUUAAAAUUUACUGCAGGAUCCUCAUGUUUUUGAUGAACCCGUUAUGGAGAACAUAAAGGGCUGGCUGAUGGAUGAAUCCGUGAGAUGUUCUGGUGAAGAGCGCAAUUGGAAACAUGGUUCAAGGAGGAGAGAGGCAACAGAUUCUGAGAUGUUGAAGGCCUAUUCUACGGGGCUCCUUGCUGUAUGUAUGGCCAGGUAUGCUUUUCUAUAACUAUUGCCUUAAAGUCUUUUGGAUGAUGCAUCUGGGUGACUGAACGGUUCCACCAACAGAAACAUUGUGUCAAAUUAUUCAUUUGGCUUAACAAAAAGGUGGUCAUAGCCAUCCAUUUUAGAACCCUCUUUGGAUGUUGAGAAUUUAGAGUAGUUGUUGGAUUUGAUUUUCAGGUCACCUUUAACCCCGUAUUAUUAAAAAAACAAGGCUAGUUUCCUCGAUUGACAUGCAUAUCGUAAACUUAUACAAAAUUGCUCCUACCCGAUUCACACCUAAAGAAUUGAUUUUAAUAUUCCAAAUCCAUGUAUUUGAAGUCCACUUAUUGGACACUGAAAUCCAGUUCCAAAAUCCUUCUUCCAAAUGAUGCGCUAGUAUUCUUAUUGUAUAUUUGACACUUGUAUCUCCUUUUUCUUGUUUUCAUUGUGAGAACAGUAGUGAGAAGGUUAUUGAAGAUAUUUCCAAAAAAAAGGCUGUUGAAAAGGUUGUUGAAGAUGUGCUUACAUCUGGAUUGUCCGGAAAGCUCAUGCGCUUUCUUCGAAUCCGCACAGUGGGGGAAACUAGCACAAGCAAAAAAGAUGGUAGUUAUUCUACUGAAGGGGAAAAUGCAAAUGCUGCCACAUGCUACCAAGGUAGGGAACGCCAGCUUCUUGAGGCUACUCAUGAUAAUUUGAAAGUGAUGGAUGAGAGGUCACUAGAUUAUCAGAGUGUCGAUAGAAAUGAUGAUAAAAGCUCUGGUGCUCAGCAAUUGAGGGAAGAUUUUGCUGAUCUUGGAGUAUUGUCUAAUGUGUCAGCUGAAGCACAGAAUUCUUCAGGAAGCCCAAUUGCUGAUGGUUUUACCUGGGAAAGAGAGGAAAACGAUGACUGCUUAAGUGAAUGUAGAAUUGGAACCAAAGACAUAUCCAAUUUGGUAAAAAAAGCUGUGGGAGCUGCUGAAGCGGAAGCCAGAGCUGCAAAUGCACCUCCAGAAGCCAUUAAGGCAGCUGGUGAUGCUGCUGCUGAAGUUGUCAAGAGUGCUGCUUUUGAGGUGCAAAACAUAUGUUGACUUCUUGCUGUUCAUAAGUAAAAGGUUGGGGGGGUUCUGGAUCUAACUCAUCUGAGUUUCAUGUGCAGGAAUUUAAAUCUACCAAUAAUGACGAGGCUGCAGUUUUGGCUGCUUCUCGUGUUGCUUUUACAGUGGUCGAUGCCACAAAUGCAGUUGAACGUUUUAGGUUAGUUUAGUAUCCGGAUGGAGUUUCUUUCUUCACAGCUGAGCAAUAUUUAUGAUCUUUACUUGUUUGAUUACAGGAGAACUACCAGUGACGCCAAUGAUUCAGUGGAUCUUGAAAGUACAGAGAAAGAAGCGAAUGAGGAAACUGAAGAAUAUUUCAUCCCUGAUGUUGAAUCCCUUGCACAGUUGAGGGAAAAAUAUUGCAUACAAUGCAUUGGGAUAUUAGGGGGAUGUGUUGGAGUUCUUGGGCCUGUAUUGCAGGAGGAGGGUGUAGAUGUCUGUCUGUUGCUGUUGGAACGUAGUUCAAAAGGAGCAUCCAAGGCUAUGUCACUCUUGCCUGAUGUCAUGAAGCUUAUAUGUUCCUUAGGUGCUCACAGGAAGUUUGCUGAACUGUUUGUGUAUAAAGACGGCAUGGAAAAACUGCUUGCUGUGCCACCAGUUGAACACACCUACUUUGGUCUUUCUUCAUGCUUAUUUACUAUCGUUUCUGUAGAGGUAACCAGAUCUAUUUUCUAUUCUUUUUUUUAAUUGUUGGAAGGGGGGUCUCUCACCCUUUGUGAGCGGGAUGGGAGAUUAACCAGAGAGGGGUGGGGAGCUGUAGUGAUAAUUGCUAUCUCAUUGCAGAUUGGGAAGUUGAGUUAAAUCUUCUUCAAUUUGUUUUACAGGGAAUAAUGGAGCUUGUAUGUGCUCUUCCAUCAGGUGUUGUCCCCCGGGUGGUUGGGUUAGCUAUUCAACUUCUGGAGUGCUCCCAAGAUCAAGCCAGGGAAAGUGCAGCCUUAUUUUUUCGUGAUGCCUUUGUAUUUAGAGAUGUGAUUGAUGCUUUCGAUGAGCAACAUGGUUUGCAGAAGUCACUUAGCCUUUUAAAUAAAGCUGCUUCAGUUAGAUCUGGUGGCAAUUCAGGGUCGUUAAACCUGUCUACUUCAGAGAAACAGACACCUUGCCACACUUGUUUUGCAUUGCAACAAUAUGUCAGAGGACAUUUUCAUCUGCUUGUGGAAUCAGUUCGUGCUAAUAGAAACAACCGAAGUUUGGCUAGGAACCUACCAAGUGCAAGGGCUGCAUACAAGCCUCUUGACUUGAGUAAUCAGGCUAUGGAUGCCAUCCUUUUGCAAUUACAGAAGGACCGGAAGUUGGGUCCCGCUUUUGCAAGAGCUAGUUUUCCUGCUGUCGACAAAUUCUUAGAGUUGAAUGGGCAUAUUACUAUGUUGGAAUUGUGUCAGGUUGGCAGAGUAAGUGAUUUUUUCACAUUAUAUUUCUGUUUUGAACUUCACACCUCCCCUUACUUAUAUCCUGAUUUUAUAAUUAUAGGCCCCACCCGUUGAUUACUUGGUUCAGUUUGCUCUGGGUGUCCUUCAUAUUGUUACAUUGGUUAAUGAUGGCCGCAAAAUGAUAGUGAACGCUACCUUGAGCAAUAAUCGUGCUGGCAUAGCUGUUAUUCUGGAUGCAGCAUAUGUUAGUGGUACUGUUGUGAAUCCUGAGGUAACGAUAAUGCCAGCAUUAAAGGUGCUAAUAAACCUUGUUCGUCCACCUCCUUCAAUAAGCAACAAACCACCUCCACUUGGUGCUGGAAAUAUCCAAGAUCGAUCUUCUAAUAUCCCCAGCCACGGUGAUCAAAGGGAGCGGAAUGGUGAGUCAAGUGCAGCCGAUCAAGUAGGACGGCGCUCAAUUGGAAGUGCUACACAAGCAUCUGUUAAUCCUACAGCAACGUCGGGAUUGGUCGGUGAUAGAAGAAUAUCUUUACGUUUUGGAGCAGGUUUUGCAGGACUUGCUACACAGAUGGAACAGGUAUAUACUCUGGCUAGAGAGGCUGUUAGUGGUGGUCUAAUGGUGCUACUGCGUCUCCUCGAGCGACGCACGUAUUCUCCUCCUGAUGCCAUUGACUGUGUCCGUGCACUUGCUUGCCGGGUGCUGAUUGGCUUAGCUAGAGAUGAUAAAAUUGCACACAACAUUGUGGCCAAACUCCAGGUAAUGCUUUUUAUUAGGUGGAAUUGCUUGGAUUCAUCUAGAUUUCUGUGGCUUCUGUAAUUUAGUGUUGUUUAACUAACGUGUGGUAUCAUACAAUGAACUAUUUUUGCUUAUAGAUAUGCUUUCUAUUAUAUAGACGCUCCAAGGAUCCUGGUGCUUCUCCAUUUCAUAGGUUUCGCUUAUUUUAUCGCAGGACGGUAAAGCCCUAUCAGAACUAAUACGAGAUUCAGGUGGCCAAACACCUGGAACCGAACAAAGCAGGUGGCAAGCCGAGCUUGCCCAGGUGGCGAUUGAGCUAAUUGGGGUAAACCUUUUCUCUCUCAGAUGUGAAUAAUUGUUGCAUCCUAAUAACUUCAACAAUUAAAUUUGUACAACCAAUGACAAACUCUGUUUAUGUUUUUGGAAAAUAUGCCUCGAUUUGUCAUUUGGAGUAGUUCAUGCUUAGAUUUUUUCUUGAUGGUUUGGGAAUACCCGUUUCUUUUUGUUGAAAAUAUCUUGCCUUUGUUACCAAAGAGAUUAAUCGACGGACUCAUGAAUGUAUUCCAGAUUGUAACUAAUUCUGGGCGGGCAAGCACACUGACCUGUACCGAUGCGGCCACACCAACAUUGCGGCGUAUUGAAAGAGCUGCGAUAGCAGCAGCUACUCCUAUCACGUAUCAUUCGAGGUGCUUCUUGCAAUUUUCUACUGUACUUUGGACAUUACCUUUGUCUCCAUUUGUGUGAUUUUUAAUGCUUUUUCUUUAAUUGUUAUGCAAAAAUCCAGGGAACUGUUGCUCCUCAUUCAUGAACACCUACAGGCGUCUGGUUUGGCCAAAGCUGCUGAUGCACUCUUGGAAGACGCUCAGUUGACGCCUUCAUCAUCUUCUCUUGCUCCUCAGGAGACUCCUUUUGUGCAGCAGAUUCAGUGGCCAUCUGCCAGUGGGUUUCUAUCUGAAAAAUCCAAAGCAACUGUACGGAAUGAAGAUGGCAAUAUCAGAUGUAGAGAUUCAUCUGUGUCUGUCAAAAAGAAGCACAUUUUGUUCUCACCUUCCUUUGGAUCGCAGUCAAGAAGUCAGCCCCAGUCCAUUGAUUCUAAAAAGUCAAAGCAAUAUCAACCUCCUUCAGAUAUAUUGGAAAAAGAAGAGCCUUUGUGCAAGACCCCAGCGAAACGCAAGCUAUCAGAUCUAAAGGAUAUUGACCUGGCUUCAUCUGGAAAGCGACUCAAUACUAGCAAGCACGAAUUUCGCUCUCCGGUCUGUUCGACACCAGCUAAUGCUUGCAAGAUUGGUGAUGGUUUAACUACACCUUUCUCUAACACGAGGGACAUUGAUACUAGGUCAACGCCAUUCAGUUCUAUAGAUUAUAUAGGUGAAAGUCCCUGCCCUAGUUCUAGCAGCUCGGAGCGGUCAACAUUAGACUCUAUCGUGGUUCAGUAUCUGAAGCAGCAACAUCGGCAGUGCCCAGCUCCUAUAACAACUCUUCCACCACUCUCCUUGCUAGAACCACAUGUUUGCCGAGAACCAAAAAGAUGCCUUGAUGCACCGUCAAAUGUGACAGCUAGGAUCGGCGGUUCACGCCAGUUUAGAAGUUUCUACGGUGGGGUCCACGGAAAUCGCAAGGAUCGACAAUUCGUGUACAGCAGAUUCAGACCGUGGAGAACUUGCAGGGAUGAUGCCGGUGCCCUGCUAACCUGCGUGACAUUCCUCGGCAACUCUGGCCAUGUUGCAGUUGGCACCCACGACGGGGAGCUUAAAAUUUUCGAUUCCGACAGCGGACAUUUGUUGGAGAGCUGCGCAACUCACCAGGCUCCUCUGACUCUAGUUCAAUCACAUCUAGCCGGGGAGACCCAGUUGGUGCUAUCUUCAAGUUGUAAGGAUGUUUGUCUGUGGGAUGCUUCUUCAAUCUCUGGAGGUCCCAUCCACACCCUGGAAGGCCGCAAAGCUGCAAAGUUCAGCAAUUCCAGCGACCUAUUUGCAACCCUAACGACAGACAUCGUUUUACCGCAGCAGCGAAGAGAAAUUCUGCUCUAUGAUGUCCAAACCUGCCAAGUAACCUCGACUUUGUCGGAUACGACUCCGAGUUCGACAGGUAGGGCCAAUGUGUGUCCGCCGAUACACUUUAGCCCUUGCGAUACAAUGCUACUUUGGAACGGUCUCUUGUGGGAUCGACGCCAGCAGUCUGAUCCUGUCCAUCGCUUUGAUAAGUUCACUGAUUACGGAGGUGGCGGUUUUCAUCCUGCGGGGAAUGAGGUAUUGAAACUAGAGGUCGUUUGUUUUUCGAUUUAGAUUUCAGAGUGUGCUUUUUAGGUCGAGAUGAUUUGAGUAGGAAAUGAUCACAUUAUUUUUGUUGAGUUUAGAAUAAUGGAAUAAGUUAGAUUUGUAUUACUCAUUUAUAAAAUUAGAUUUUUUUUUUUAAUUUUCAAAACUCUUACUAAUUGCUAUUCAAUGAAACACAAAUUAAAACGACUUGUUAAUUUAUUGCAGUUUGUGUUUCCUAAUUAAUCAGGUGUCAACUAAUGUUGAAUCUUAAUUGUGACAGGUGAUUAUAAACUCAGAGGUGUGGGAUCUGCGGAGGAAGUUCAAGCUUCUACGGAGUGUACCGUCGUUGGAUCAAACGACGAUAACCUUCAACGCACGGGGAGAUGUGAUCUACGCUAUCCUGAGGAGAAACCUGGAGGACGUGAUGUCGGCACUUCACACUCCUCGGCGCGUGAAGCAUCCGCUGUUUCCAGCCUUCAGAACGGUGGACGCCGUCAAUUACUCAGAGAUAGCGACUGUGCCGGUGGACCGAUGUGUUCUCGAUUUUGCAUCGGAGCCGACAGAUUCGUUUCUCGGGUUGAUCACCAUGGAUGAUGACCAAGAGAUGUUCUCGUCGGCUAGAGUUUACGAGAUUGGUAGGCGGAGGCCUACUGAUGACGACUCGGAUCCUGAUGAUGCUGAAAGCGAGGUAGAGGACGAAGACGAAGACGACGAUGAUCCGAUCUUGAGGUCGGAUUUCGGAGGUGAUGGUGAUAGCGAUGAGGAUGGUGACUUGAGCAAUGAUGAUGAUAUUUAUUUGGAUGACAGCGACGAUGAGGUUGAUGGGGGCUUCGUGAUGGACGGUGUGGAGUUUGGUGGCGGAGGUGGAAUGAUGGAGAUGAUGACGGAGGGGGACGGCGAAGAUGACGACGAUGAUGAUGAUGACGACGGCCACAGUCGAGUGUUGGAAUGGGACAGUAGUGGGGAAGAGGACUUCAUGCGGUAAUUAAUUAAUUAAUGGGGUUGUUAUCUCAGAAAUAACCUGUAAUUAUUUAUAUAGAUUUUGGGAUUAAGCUGCAGUUCGAUAUAAUAGUAAUUUCACGAAAAUUAUGAUUUGGUUAACUACAUUAGUUUGUUUGGUUAACACUAACUGCAUCUAAAUUUGGUUAUAUGAUUAAUCACUAACCGCAUUGCAUAACCAUUGUAUGGUUAGUGGUUAACUGCAAAUAAUGAUUGGGCGCAGUUAAUUUUGAGUAAUUUGACUAAAAUUGUGACAGUUAACCACAUUGUUCAAUUCGGUUAACACUAAUCACACCACUUUCAGCCCUACUCAAAUGCAUUUGUCGAUUACUUUUAUAGCAUUGGCAGUGUCUACUGAUUUCAAAUUUGCUUUGUAAACAAACCAGACCAUAUUGAUAGAUGGUUUGAGAUACAUACCACCCGAUAACCGAUUAGUUUGAUACGGUUCUCAACAACACUGGUUAACUCAAAUUAACAAGUUAAAUACAUAUAUACUACUCAACUUCCAUUUUCAGUCAUAUUCGCCGCAGAAUUACAUUUAGUACACGAAAUAAAGCUGAACUAUAACUUUCGUUUCUCCAGUUUAUGGACGGAAUGAUGACGUGGCCUCAAUGGAGGUUACACAGUCAGCAGCUCUCGCCUAAUCAGCUGCCAACUCAUAAUCCUAAUGAUCAACAAACUACCCUCCCUAGUGAGUGACUAGUGAGAAAUAUAUACAUUUUAAGUCACCCUCUCUGGACACCGCAGUCUCCUCGUUGCUGCUUAGAUGCUCCGGAAGCCAUUUGCCGGUGACGUUUCAUAUCAUUCUCAUCUUAUCCUUCUUCAUCCUUUCAUCAUACAUCGGCAACUUAAUUAUCUCGUGGAUUUCCCGCACCAAGAUAUCGUCUGUUAUGUUGUCUUCGAUACUUCUCUUCACCUGUCGAUCGAAACAAGCACAAGUGAAAUGUUUAUAAUGACUUUAGUGUAGGGAAAAACAUCAUACUUAUGAAUUUAAAUACCUUUAUGUAUGUAUUCCACCCGUUUGGUGUGUUUUUAUCGGUGCGAACCGGCAUGAACACCCAGACUUUCGUCUCUAAGUUACACGAACACUCUAUGAUCUUCCCGGAAUACAAGCACGGAUCAUCAUCUGGAGCAUAUCAAACCGCGAAAUUGUAACCGACUGACUGACAAUAUUAUGAGCUGAAUGCAAGAUAACCAAAUUCUAUACCUCGAAAUACCACCGAGCUCCCAUCCGUUAGUUUGAUCUUCUUCGCACCAAGAUACAAUGAUUUUUGACCAUCACGACCAACCUGGAAUUAUGAAUGUAAGGACAUAAUCGAUCACUGCAAUAUUCUUCUAAUCUUCUGUAAUCAUACAUACCUCAAAUAAGAAGUCAACCGAGUUCAUCGCAGCGUACUUCCACUUCAAAAGACCCUCGUUAGCAUCCGGAACGUAAGGAUCGUCCCAUGCAUAAAAUUAGUGCAGUAAUACUAACCAGCAUAUUCAUCUUUAGCAAGCCAUAGCAGAUCUGCCUCAGUUUGUAGAGCUGGUCAAUGGGUAUAUCGUCUCCCAAAACAUCAUCAUUUGUUAACUUGGCAUCCACUUCUCGAUUGUUCUGAAACAUACAUACGUUCGAAGGAGCAGCUGAAACGCCAUCAUCAUCGUCAUCUUCAAGAGAUUUCUUCCAUUCUGGAAUAGGAGGGCAUAUAUUGUCCGGCAUCUUUUCAUGGUAGAAAUCAUAUAGAGCAGCAAUAUAGUCUGGUUUGUAGAUUCCAGGAGGAUGUGCUUCAGAAAAUUUAGUUAUCGCCUGCAUUUGCCGAUAGACUUAACACAUAAUGGAGUGUAAAAAGUGGUAUUAGCUAAGCUAUAAAGCUGAAACAAACCUCUGUGACCGACAUCGACUGUGUACGCAUCAAAAAAUGAAUAAUCAUGUAUCCUGUGCGGUUGUGCCCAUGUGUGCAAUGAACAAGAACACACUUCUUAGAAAGUUUUUGACUCUGCAUCACCUGGAAGAAGAGUAAGCACACAUCAUAAAUAUCAAAGAAAAAACAACGAAUAAUGUAAAGCAUGAAGAACUCUCAACGGAAUCAAAAAAUCAUACUUCAUACACAAAUUGAUUUACAGCCACAUUCUCCGGCACAGCAUCCGUCCCAACAUUGAAUCUAGACAAGAAAACAACAGAACAUGUUUGAGUUGACAGUGAACAAGUGCUGAAAUGCAUAACUUAGAGGCCCUUGUAGAUCGUCAUGCACCUUAAUAUGCUUGAUGCCCUCCUUUUUAAAAUCGUUGGGAGAGUAGUAACGAGUUUGUCAAAUCGAUCACCAAACCAAUCUGCAGAUGAAGUAACACUUUAUAGAAACUUCAAUGGAUUCAAAACAUCACUCACUACAAAAUGUCCUUUAGUGGAACUGACAAUAGAUCAACUAAUGAUUCUGAUAUCACAAACAGGAAUAAAAAGAUUAAAAAUUUGAAGUUGCCGUGUAUCUUGCAGCCCUUACCGUUCUUCCUGCAACUCGUUGUAGAUGAAUCACUUGCGUGAAAGAAUAUCUUCUUUUACCAGGUGGAAUAACCUGGUAGAACAUUUCACCAAGAGGUGCCUUAGAAGGAACAAUUCCGCAUAUCUCCUUACCAGCCGGAGGGCAAUCCAACCAUCCUGACAUCAACAAGGCCACUUAUAAGCGUGCAUAUUCCUUACAACAAUACGACUAGACCAUGAAGAAAUGAAGAAUCUACCAGGAGGUAGUCUGGUUUGAUCGUGAACUGGCUGCCGAGGUGCAGGACGGGGUCUAUCAUCUAAACUACUCUCAGCUCUCAAACUCUUGCGCCUCUCGCCCCGCUCCUAAAUUACACACAAACACAAGAUUCAACAACCAUGAACAGAACGAAAUUCCUACGAAAUCCCUUCUUUGCUAUCUUUCAAGUUGAGAAGUACCCGGUGUGCAAGCUGCACAGAAGUCUCUACUCGUUCCACAUUGGCACAAUAUUCUUCUAUGUGCCUUACAAAAUUAUCUUCCUUGUCUUCAGGCAGCGGUAAAGCAUUCAAGUCCAUUGCAACGACUUAAUCGGUAAAAGUUAGCAAAUUGCUUCCUCCCUAAACCCUAACAGAGGCGAAAACUUGACCAGGAAGUCCGUAACCAGCAAUCGGACCUCAAAAGCAGGAAUUUUACGCUGAGCUACACCGAACUUUGUUUAAAAUUAUUCUGCUUUUGCUUCUCUAUUUCACAGAACACAGUACUCUGCUAAUUAUAAAACUAACGUCGGCCACCUUUUCACGGCGGAGUGGCGGCAGGCUGCUUAUCGAACCGCGCGCGGGAAUCCGUCCGUUGCAGUUUUCUGAUUUCGGAAUUGGAAAUUUGGGGGAAUGAUUGAUUUUUUUGCAAUAUAUAUAAGAAUUCAGAUUGACAUAUGUCCGUCUUGGUCCCUGAUUUGUGGCCUAAUAUCAUUGGAAGGCCUAACCUUUUUGAAACUUCAAAUAUAAUACAGAGCUCGAUAUUGUUAGCGGUUUCAGUCCUUUUCUGUGAAAAAUUUUAAACUUUGGGACCUGCCUAUCAAUUUGGUCGACCCAGACCCUAAUGUCCGGUCAAUUUGGGUUGGUUCACGUGUUUGGGUCGAACCAUUGUACUCCAGAUCCAACCAAAUCAAUAUAAGUGGCACCGAACUAACCGAGUUGGUACAGCUGAAGCAACUUUAGAAACCUUAUUUCAAAAAAUAUUAGGAUGUAAUAUUAAUAUAUAGGUAACCAAUUGGAUUACAAACCAUCUCCACUCAACAACUCAAAAACCCAACCGAAAUCAAAUCAAACCCAAUUUCAAAACCGAACCCAGAACAAAGAUUACAUUCCAGAUUCACAAGGGAGAAAGAAUCAUCAAUUCAUCAUCUACAUCUUCAACAAACCCAUGAAAGAAGCCACCAGAGAAACGCCAACGACAGCGGCCGAAACAGGAACAGAGAACCCAGCACCGGUCACCUGCGACGGCGACGGUUCAGGCGCCAUCAUCUCCUGGCCGGAAACCAUAGCCGCCAUCAAAGCGACCAACACAACCAUGGAGAUAGCAGCUGCCUUGGAAAUUGACGCCAUUGUUGAAAGGGAAGAGGAUGAAUAAAGCUUGGAUUUGAGUUUGUGUGUUUUGAAUUGAUUGAUGAGAAAGGGGAGAAGAAGAACAGAGCUAUUUAUACAGCGGGAAUUAUCAAUUAUGACCGUUCAGCUAACGGCGUGAAGCUUAACAGCUGGUAGUAGGCCAUGGGGGAAACGUGGGGAACAGGCUGUAACGGCGGGUGGAUGGGAUAGCCGUUAGGCUGUAGCCAUUGGAAACGUGACGCGUGGCUGAAACAACGGUCACUUCCGUCUGGAAUGAUCUGUUUGGUUUUUUGUCGGUGUGAGGAAGAAGGUCCCACAUUAUGUCGUCAAAAUAAUUCCACCAUUUGUACAGGUCGUAGUGGUGAUUAUGGUUCGGAGAUGGAAUCGGUGAGACUAUCAUUAUAUUAUUCAAGUUUUAAAAUUAUAAAUAUUCGUAUUUAGUGGUAAUCGUGUAUCCUAAUGUAUUGUGAUUCAUUACUAUUCUAGUCACUAGUACUAUACUAGUAUACUACAUUGUUUCAUUCAACUCAAUUUUCACUUUUCGUAAAAAUGUUGUUUAGAAUCAGCUCUAGAUUCAAGUACUAACUCAAUUGCUAAACAAUUUGAGCUCGAGUUAGAAGUAAAGUACUUUAUUUUACAAUUCAAUAGUUUUCUAAAUCCAUAAAAUAACAAAUUCAAUUAGAUCGAACUUCAAAAUAUUCAUGUGAUCUUAAACAACUUAUUAGUAACCAGAACCAAAUUAAUAACAUUUAAUAUGCACCAACCUCGAAUAUAAUUAUAUGAUGUUUAUACCCCUCAAAAUACCACAAAAUUUAUACACUCUCGAAACCAUUCAUAUCCAAAAGAACCAAACCUAACCAAUGGAAGCCUCCCUGAACCCGCCACUGAUCGCAGAAUCGGUACAUUACUACUACUUACAAUCGCCGAAUCAAUCCACACGAAACAUCAAAUGAAACAAAAAUAAUACAAAGAGGUACACAAAUUGAUGAUGAUGAUUUAUAAGUGGAUCUCCCACCACAAUUUCGAAUUCGAUUCAGUACAAUGAUGAGAGAAGAGGAAUGAGGAGGAGUGAAGAGCAAAUGAAUGCCAGGAAAGCUGAUAGAGGCGAGGAGGAUACAUCCAUGGCUGCUCCGGUGAUCAUUGCCGGUGUAGGAGCGAUGUCCUGAGCCAUUGCUCCAGAAGAAGAGGAAGCCAAAAUGAAUACCACAAAGAAGGCAGCUGCUGCCAUUGCCGCCAUUGAUUUCGCCAUCGAAAAAGAUCUGAUGAAGAGAGGAGAUGUGUCUGAUUGAUUGGUGAUGGAUGAAUUGAGGGAGGCUCUUAUGAUCUGAGGAGGAAUGUGAGGAAGAGGCUACAAAUUUAUAGGCAGCUAGAAAGUAAGUUUCGGGCUGAUCGGAAUCGAAAGUGAUCCGAUUAAUCAAACAAUGACGACACAUUUUGGACCCUUUUUGAGUAAAGUCAUGAAAAUCUGACCAUUCUUAACUCCGGACCGGUGAUUAUUGGUUAACCUAUUAUAGGAGCACAUCUAGAGAGUGGUUGUUUAUAAACCGGUUUUGGAUACUUAAUCAGUCCGGUUUUAUAAUUAACAGUUUGUGUGACUUUCCCCUUUAGGAAGUAAUCGAAAUAAUAAUGAAGCUUGAAAUAGAAGAAAUCUCAAACUGAUGAUUAUAAGUCUAGAAGAAAUGAAUUGAGGUUUACUGUAAUCCUCAAUUAGUUGGCCCGUCCAUCGUAUAAGGUAGAAAGCUGGCCUAUCUAUUCCGUUGAUACCUACACUUCAUUUUCUCCCAAACCCAGGAAUUGUCUAUUGAACGACUAACACUCGAUUGAAGGGUUUUGUUAGACAAAACGAGCAACCAACAAUACAAUAGACCCAAUCAAAGGACCGGACCGGAACACAAUCAAAGGACCCACUUGGACAAAUCGAGCGACCAAUAUCGAGAUUCCUCAUGGCCAAGGCCGAGCUAGUGGCUAAGGCUAGAGCCCAGGUUUCUCAGACGUCAAGGCCAGUAAAUGAUAGUAGUUGGCCAAAGCCUAACCAUCAUGCACAUAAAUAAGAAUACAAGAGAGAUUCCACAGUACAGAUACUGGUGAAAUCAAAGUCACAGUUAAGCAAAGGAGGAAUCUCGUUCAUAUGACAACAGCGACACAUUGAAGAACCAAAAGCUUAAUCACAUGUUUAGAAGUAUUAGGUGAGAGCCUUCUCAAAACACCUAUCGGUGUUUCUUCCUUCUCUUCUCUUCUUUCCUCUUCCGUUUCUUAUCCCUCGACUUCUCUUUCGUACUGUGCUUCCGUUCCGACUUCAUUCUCCUGGCCUUCUUCCUUCUGUCCUCGUCAGAUUCGUCUUCUGAUGAAUCGCUAGACUUCAGAGAAGAUGGCUUCUCUGGACCCAAGACAGCACGGCAAGAUUUAAGAGUGCUAGUGGGGAGAGCAUCCACCGUGUCUUCCCCUGAAGGACGGUAUGGACCUGUUUCGUCCAUCCUCGAACCAACAGCGCCCCGACCACGCUUUGCCCUGUCGUCAGAGAGGGUGAGAGAAUCUCACGUCAGAACGAUUUGAAAAGUUGCUAUUAAUAUGAGGGCACAGAAACAAAUGGAGAUUUAAUAACGAACCUGGACUGCAAAAACUCCUCAAUCUCUUCGUCCUUCAAUCCUCCAUCGUCUUCGAUCAAGCUGCUGCUGCUUCUUCCGGAUACUCUGUUACUUGACGAGCAUGAGGGUCUAGCAUCAUCACUAUGUACAGCUAGCCUCUUACUGGCAUUCUUAUGGGACUCACUAGUGUAUCUGUUGUUCUUCACACCUUUGGAUCCAUCACUAAGCCUUUCGUCCAAGUUCGUCUCUUUUUGACGGACUCGCCACAUCUCAUUAACUUCCACGACUCGGUUUGCUGGUAGCUAGCAUGUACCAGAGUAGUAUCAGUAGUAAUAAAAGACAAAAGAAUGCAACAAAGGAACAUAAUCUAUAGAAACAGCACAGACAAGAGCCAAAUGGAAAAGAUCAGAUUUUAUUCCCUUCAGAUAAGGGCUGAAUCAUUGAGUAAAAAUACCAAUCUAUACAUCUAAACAUCAACGGAUUUAAUCCUGCCAUCUACAAUGAUUUCGACGGAUCAUAAACUCAUCAGCACUGAAUAAUUGAGUAGAACAUAACUAUCUAUAAGCAAUAUAUGAUCAAGUAAUGAACAUCAAUGGAUAUAAUCCUACCAUCUACAAUGAUUUUGACGGAACUUAGAAUAUGCCAAAGAAAGAAAGAAGUAACCAUCCCGGGUUGUGUUCAGAUUAUGGCGUUUUAUCUAAGUUACAUACUAAUAUAAACUGCUCUACAUUGCACCUAAGCACAUCUAUUCAGCCUCUCCGUCAGCUAAAGGGACAACCCAUUUGCAAGCCGAACCCAAUCAACCAGAUUCUUAUGCAAAAAACAAGAAGAAUCCAUAACUAAUAGGGCUAUUAAACUUAAAGCAACCAGUUUUACUGACCUUGCUGCACUCCAAGAACAGUUGCAGUAAGGAAUCGCGAGUUCGGUCGCACUCUAACAGUAGGUUUCUCAAGAUAGGCACGAACACCUUCUUUCUCAGCCCGCCGCCUCAACUCAGCUGCCUCUCUCAUAAGCAUUGCAGCUAUUCUGUUCUCCGUCUCCAGAUCCAUCGCAGCUCCCACAAACCUGCUUAACCAUGAUUCCGCUUAAGUCAGUUUACAAUCCCUUUUGAUCAAAAUUCAUAUCUUGAGAUUUAAAAAAUUCAAAAUUUCCCAUAUUGUAUAUCAGACAGCUGCCAUGCUUAGGAAAAAAGGGCUCGAAAGUCAAAACCCUUGAAUCAAAUAUCACUAAACGAUGCAAUUCAACAGCAAGAAUCCGUGAAACCAAGGCAAGUAACAAUCAACAAAAAUCAUGAGCAAAACCUAGGCAAGUAGCUAGCAGGAAAUAAACCAAAACCAAUCGAGCAACAACCUGAAGAAAGGCUACCGGAGAUCGGAUUCCGACGAAGAAGGACAGGUGGUAGGAAGAGCUUCACCGACGUCUCGACUGCGAUGAAACCUAUGAUCUCGAAGAACUCUCAGAAGUCAGAACCCUAGGGAUUUGAUCGCGUUCUUCUGAUUCCUUCUGGAUAAAACGAUGACGCAGCAGUUUAUUCAAAAAGAACAAUAUUUUAAAAUACCGCGGUGGCCAUGGUUCAACCGAAAUGGUUAUCUGCUCAACCCUGGUAAUCCACUUCCUAGUUAAACAGUUCCAAUUGAUCUUCUUAAUAAAAAAAGUUCCAAUUUAUCUGAUUAUUAGCACACCAAAAAAAACCUUUAAUAAAAAUUCAAAUUGAAUGUGGAAUAAUAUUAUUCUCAUUAAUAAAUGAUUAUAAACGAUAAAAUAAUAGAUGUGAUAUUAAAAAAUGAAUGUUGUUCGUACGGAUAACGCUGAUACACAAAUUAAAAAUAACGAUAAUAUAUAUUUUGUAUAUAAAAAAAAUCGCGACAUAUCAUGAAUAUUAUAUUACCUCUAAAUAUAUCUUUUCAUACUAACAUAUAGAUUUAGAGUUCUAAAAUAAGAAAAAAAAUAUCAAAUUACCUUUUUUCGAAAAUAAAAUCUUAUUACCUCUAAAUAAGAACAUUUACCCUCUAAAAUAAGAAAAGAAUCAAUCCAACAACCCCGAAAAACAAGAAUAACCAGACAAAUUCAAUUUCAAAAAUAAAUAUUUACCAAAAAUAGCACCAAAUUUUACCCUAUAAAUGGUUCCCUGAAUCCAAGAAUCAUCCUCAGGCCUUGCUCAAACCUUUAAUCAAAAGCAAAAAAGAAAUAAAAUAAUAAAGCAGGUCUCAAUCCGUAAUCCGGGCGGCAAAGGGAUUUCUUCUUCUUCCUUUUCCUCUCCGAUCAACCAAUUUCACGUCACCCACCACCAUGGACAUGAAGAAGAUCUCUUACGCCGUCGUCAUCGCCGCCGCCUCUGUCUCCACCGUCAUGGCUGCUGAUGCCGGAUUACUUGCUCCUUCCGCUGGCCCCUCCUCCGCAGGCGCCGCCCCUGCUUCAGCUCCCACCGCCGUCAGCGGCGCUGUCAGCUCAGCAUUGCCUGCAAUUGGGACCUUGGUUGGAGCUUCCCUUGUUUCAGUCUUCUCUUAUUAUUUCAAUUGAAUGUAUUAAGAGAGAUGAAACAUUUGUCGCUAUGAUUAAUGAAAAUACAGUGACCCAGUUCUAAUAAGAUUAAAGAUUUGUCUUUUGAAUCGUUAGCCUUAUCGAUCUGAUCUCAGCUCAGCAAUCUGGUAAAUCAUAUAUAGAACAACAAACUUGGGUAUACGAUAUACAUUGGCAAUACAGAACACUCACUAGCAAAAUCAGCACAAACCCUAGCCAUUAACAUUAGCAAACCCUAAAUCAACAAAAUACAUAAUUUAGGAGCCUUCACCAUUGUACUUGUGUUGAGACAGAAGGCUCUUUGUGAGCCAGAUAGCUGUUUCCCUAGACGAUACGGUCUCCUCCCCGAAUGGCCUCAGCACGCCAGCAAGAUCGUCAAUUUUAUCCUGCUUAAGCAGCCUUGCGCAUAGCUCGAGCAACGACUCCAGCGCGUCAGCCCUUUGCUGGGUCGGAACCCCUUGCUGCUUGUUCGUCUGCUCGUUUAUCGCUGCCAGCGUUCGUAGCAACGAAAUGUGGUUAGCUGGCAGUAGCUCUUCUUCAUCAGCGUUGGCAGCAGCAGCAUUGUCUUUCUCCACGAUCGCGAUCUCCAUUCCCUUCUCCAGUUUCGGUCCACUUUUGCAGUCAUCUGAUGGAGGGUGAUCAUCAGCAACAGUAAUAUCGGUAGUUUCAGACGAAAAACUAUUGAAAUGACCCCUUUCUUCUGCAUGUACAGUGAGAGGUUGUGGCUGUAACUCUAUAGGAGAAGAAGCUUCAUUGGUCUCUUCCUCGAGAAUUCGUGCAGGUUCAGGAGUUUCCUCUGUGCCAUCUUUUCUGUCUACCUGAACCUUCUCAAUAGUAGCCUCCAAGUUAUGAUCAUCUAGUUCAGUUACAGGACUAGUUUCGAUGUCGCCCGGUUCGUUAAAAUUUUCAGCAACUUCCGGCUUGUGUUCCUCUUCGUAUUGACGCGAGGCAAACUCAAUAUCAAUGACAUUCUUUCGAUGAACACCACUAGAAUCACAGAUGCUCGUCUCGGAGUCAGUGGAGCUGUCCUUUGGACCAGUAAUCGUAUCGGAUGUUUCCACAGUGGAAUCAGAGGGCUUCGUUUCGGGGUUAUCAAUUGCACCGGAAGUAGAUGUCGCAUUGUCAUCAAUGCGCUGUAGUACCACGUUGCUACUUCUCUCGGAAGGGCGAUCAUUUUCGAACGAGCCUCGGUUGACUCCACCACUACUAAGUCUUCUCGUUAGAGAUUUCCGUCUUGAUUUCUCGGGAGAGUUGCUUAUAAUUGGAAGGAAAACAGAAGAUGCAUUACGACAGCGAAGCAGAUAUGGUUGCAGAUGAGGGUGCCUAAGAAGUUCAGCAGCCUGCAAUGUCAAGACCGAAACACAAUAAGAAGAAACAUCAUAAGAGAGAGAUAUCAGCAUCAUGUCUGAAGAACUCACUGUUGGUCUGUGUUCUGGGUUCUUCCUCAGCAUGGUUUUGAUAAUUUGCUUCCUGUGAUGCGAAAAUUGAGUUAAAAGUAUGAACUUUAACCUUAGUCGAUAAGAAAGCAUACAUAGAUACUCACAGCGAAGACGAGUAAACGAUUGGGAGAGGAGAGAUGAGUGAUCUGUUUAUUUUGUUGAUAAGUCCAGCCUUAUCCUGUUCAAAGUGUAACUUGUUAUCUACCAAAAUCAUGUCCAAAAAAUCGAAGUUCGAGAUUCUAGGUACUUACAGGAGCUUUAAACGCUGGUUGAUGUGCAGCAAUUUCGAACAUGCAGCAUCCUGGAUCGAAAACAAACAAUGUCACUCAAAUAUGAAGGGAAACGUCGACAUAGUUCGUAAACAAUGUCGCUCCACCACUUACCUAGUGACCAGAUGUCGGAUUUGUAUCCGUAAGGUAUGUCAGCAAGGAGUUCAGGACACAUGUAGUUAGGAGUUCCGACAACCUAGAUCGCGAAUCCAAUUCAGAUAAGACAUAAAUGGCCAAACUUUAAUCAUAAGAAUGUAGCAUAUAAUUACAUGCGAUACCGAAGAAGAAGCGAGUUCUUUGGUGUCGAGUAGCUUGGCCAGUCCAAAGUCACCUGUUCACACUCCACACAAGACAUAUUUAGAAGGAGAAAAGAAAAACAAAUCCGAAACUCAGUAUCUGUCCAUUUGUACCUAGACGGAUGUCAUUCUCCUUGGUAAGGAAUAUGUUGGAGCACUGGAAAAUUUCAGAGGACACAUAUUAUCAGCAGCAGUUCAAAACGGGUCAGAUAAGCCGUCCUUAACGUACGCAAAUGUACCUUCAGAUCUCUGUGAAUGACCCUGUUCGAGUGCAAGUAAUCCACAGCUAGUAACAACUGAGUGAACCACUUGCAUACUUUCUGAAGAACAAAACAGAACAACGUGUUACAUAAGGCCAUGAACACGUAAAGAACUUGCCUGCGUAAAGAUUCAGUCGCUUUACCUCCUCCGGAAAGAUUAUUCCUCUAGCCUUUUUCAAAAUCGCAGCCCUGAAACAAAACACACGCCAAAGAUCAUAUCUUUCAUUAUGUUCAUAUUAAGCAUUUUUGCAUAUGAGAACUUACGUGUCUCCUCCUUCACAAUGUCCAGUCACUAUGCAUACACAAUUCCCCUACAAGAACCAAAAAAGUUCGAUUCUCUUCAGCAAAAGUGAGACCUGAAAAUCGAUCGUGAAACUGAUGAAGAUAAGUAGGGAUAUGGCCUCACCUUUUCCUCCCAAGAAUCUUUAUACUCCACAAUGUAAGGAUGAUUUAGCUUAGCAAUGAGGUCCAUCUGCAGCAAGAAACCAAACUCGCUACAAUCAUAUCUUACCUCUAAGUUCCCUUGUCUCAGCCAUUAAAAUUAUAACUCUAUGAAUUAUGAUAGAAGAGAAAAAGAGAGGAAUUAACCUCCUGGUGAGCUGUCCGUUUGAACUUCUCAGUUUGCUUAGCCAGCCGGAUCUUCUUCAGCACAUACCUAAACGUGAUAGCAACCCCACCAAACCAAUCAAUAAUUUGGAACAUUUGAGAAUGAAAAAAAAAUUAUAUACUAAGAGACAAAAGAUUCCCCACCUGUCUUUACCAACUUUCAAAACCCAUAUGAACAGAACAAAAUCAUUCAAACCAUUCUGUAUCAAACCUCUUCGGUUUGAUCUCGAGUUUUACUAAGAAAACACAUCAAACCCGCUAGUUAAUCGACUGCAAACAACUCUAUCUAGCUGAAACUUUUGAGUAUACAAACAAACCAGUUUAACCUCAUCUCGAGCACUAGGCUACUAUGAUAACACGAUUUCAAGGUGUCGAAGUCGUUGGCUUCAUCAGUUUGAUCCCGAACCCCUACAUCGCUACAUCAAUAACCUCUUCGGUUCGACCUCGACUUUACUAAUAAAAACCCAUCAAACCCACUAGUUCAUCGUUUGCAAACAACUCUAACUAGCUGAAACUUUUGAACAUACAAUACAAAAAAGACGAAAGCUUGCUAUGAUAACACGACUUCAAGGUGUCGAAAUCGCUAGCUUUUCACCAGUUGGAUCUCGAAUUUUACAAGAAACCCACUUGCUCAUUGAUUGCAAAAAACUCUAGGUAGAUGAAACUUUUGAAUAUAUACAAUAAAUACAUAAAUUAACAGCCGCCUGAGCAUUUAUAACAGUCCCAACUAGCACUAACAGCUCUCUUUCUUUGCUAGCUAGCAAACUUCAGCAGUAAAACCUAAGAAAUUUGCAGCAACAACAAAAGGAAAUGAAGUACGGAGUACUAUUUUAACCAACUUACUUCUUUUUCUCAGCUUUGUGGAGGACAAGGAAAGCAGAACCAAAAGCUCCACAUCUCCCAAUCUGCUCAAUGACCUCGUAAUCUUCCAUCUUCGACGACUUAUUAGCAGCAGCUUCCUCUGAAUCCAUCACUGCAAAUAGAAAAUCAGCACACACAUCUGGAACUGGAAAUGGAAAUGGGGUUUUAGUACUUUACCCUUUUGAGAACACUUUGGUGGGAAAUCUGAGAGAGCUGGGUUUGGAAGUUCUGAGAGUGAGAGGGAAGGGAAACCCAGAAAGGGGAAUUGUAUUUUGUUGGUUGGUGGUGUAGGCAGGAGUCAAUCAAGACAGGUGUGGGAGCUAAAUUCCCACCCAAUUAUGAGCUCACGCUUCGGAAUUGAGGGUGAGUGAGAGCACAAGUCAAAAAGAAAGAAAACAGAGACGAAAUAAAUGGCGAAAGUGAAGAAUUUAAUGGGUGUGUGGGUUUUCGUUAGUGGACAUGUAGAUGGAAAAUGAUGAGAGGUUUUGGAAAAUGGGGAGAUAGAGUGAGGAAUUUAGCACUUGAUUGUAUAUAAUAAUAAUAGUCCUUAAUCUUGUUUCUUUUGCAAUAUUUGAUUGAUCAUAAAAAAUUCUAUUAUAAUUUAGUGUUCAAAAAUUACUAUCCACGUACGAAUAAUAAAGGAGAAGCAUAUAAUACUUUGUAUUCUCAAUUUUUUAAUAAUCAUUUUUUUAUCAAACUCAUCACGACCUAAUUUAAAAAGACAAAGAAACAAACCCCUAAUGCAAAAGAAACAAAAAAAUUACCCCAAUAUCCAGUAUUUUUUAUUGUCUCCGAAUAUAUAUUGUCUGAAAUAAUACUCACCCAAAGACUAUAACAUUGUAAAUUCAGUUUUCUUAUUGUAAUAUUUUGUUACUAAGUAUGUGAAUCAAUUAUCAAACAUUGUAAUCCAACACUGAAACAGUAAGUAGUGCAAUUAAUCUAUAUAUGGAAGAAGUUUGCUUGCAAUGACAGUUUAUUCAUGAAAAUGCCUUGACAAGGAUGAGAAAGUUUCCUACCAUAUCACAGCAGUUGCUAUGUCAACAUCUUCUCAUCAUUCAAUAGCAAAUGUGACCCCAAAGAACACAUAGACAUGAACCAUUCACCAUGUUAAUUGGAUACAAGCAAUGUAUUUCAAUGUGUUCAUGUUAUUUAUUACUGUACUUCAUACUGUAAAAAAAAAAAGCAAUAAACCAUUCACCNNNNNNNNNNNNNNNNNNNNNNNNNNNNNNNNNNNNNNNNNACAACACCACCCCCCGACACACCAUAAACGAACAAAACCUUUACAAUUAAAAAUCAUCUCCACUAACCUUAGGAUAAUUUUUGCAAUGCACUAGCCUCAGUAAUUACCUUAGGAUAAAAAUUGAUUAUUGCUUAAUUAUUUUUUCAAAUAUCUAAUUGCAACUGUGAUUUUGGCUCGUGUUAAUCCUCAACAUUUACAAAUGUUUGUAUUGGUCAGAAAAAAUUCAAAAUAACACUAGCUAAAGUAGUUUUAAAUUAUUACUUCGAGAGCAAUAUAUAACAUUUAAAAGUGUUAUGAUAGAUAAAUAAUACGUACGAUUAUUUUAGGAUGGAAUGUUAAUUAUUAUGGGUGGGUGUAGGAAUAAACAUAUGCUAUGGAUGGCCCAUAUUGAUUGUCAAUUAUCAUAGCCUUAAUUUUAAUUAAUUAAGCUCACCCACUGAUAGUGAUAGUCAUGAAUCAUGAUGAUGGUGCAUGGCUUAUCUUUAUCCCCUCCAUUAUCUGUUUUAACAUAAUAAUAAUAAUAAUAAUCAAUAGUAUGUUUUCAUGUCAUACUUGAUAAGAGUGUGGCUUGUUUUUAAGUUAUAUUUUGAUUUUUUUUUAAAAUCUUUGUCAUUUGUAUUAUCUGUCGAUAAAUUAUUUGGGAUCAAAGUUAAAACAUUUAUAUGAACCACGUGAAAUUAAGGGAUGAGCAAUUUCAUGUUAGUUACUUGUUAUUUUUACUUAUUUUAUUGACAUGUCUAUCAUGUAUCUACUUUGUAUUGUCUCUAAUAAAAAAAAUCAGAUCGUGAAGAAGAAAUAAAAUUUAGCAAUAAUAACCAACCAUCAAACUCAUCAAUGCUCGUCCUGAUUGAUUUUUGUGCUACUUUAUUCUUAGCAACAUGAUACUCUCGUCGUACCAACGAAAACUAAGAAUCCCUUUUAUGAAUACGACGGUCCGACUUUGUAUGAUUUCUACAUUGCCCUAUUAUAAACUUACAUCAAUUGUUGGUGCAAACUCCUAUCUUCUUCUUCUUCUACCAACGUCGUGUCUUUGUGACAAGAAUUGGGAUUGUAUGGUUCCCUUUUAUGAAGCAAAACAAAUCUCUAUCCUCUCCAAUACAUAACAACAAGAUUGAUGGAGAGGAAUUUUCAAACAAAUUACAUUUGUAAAAAGCCCAUCAUGUCAGUGAAGCCAUCCAGACUUAAACCCAGUUGACAAGCCCGCAUUUCCAAGGCCAGGCCCAAGAUACCCCAAUAUUCAUGUCAGUGAAGCCCAUUUAGCUUGAGAAAUUGAUGCUAAAUGCCUCCCACUAGUUGGUAACUGACUAGACCGAUUGAUAUUAGUAUAUCGCAGGAUCUCGAUUUCGAAUGCUAUCUUCUCCGUAUUUGUUGUGUCUUUUUCAAUCACUCACUUGAGACUUCAUUUGAAUUGGUAUGUUUAGGUAGGACCAACUAACAAGUUCUUCGUAACAAAUCGUCAUAUAAUGAAUAAAGUGUUCUGAUGUCAGACCAAGCGCCUCGAUAUUUUGACCAAAUGAUAGUUGUUUAAAGUAUAUGUAGUGAAUAGUGAUAACUUCACAAAGAUGAAAUAUUGGAACAUGAAACAAUGGAUAAACAACAUAUUCAUCUUAAAUCACCCAAAUUGCAUGAAAAAAAUGCACAAAAUUUAAAUUACGUGUUUGACCUAUCAGAACAAACAAAGUGGUCCCUGGUGAAAAUAGAUCUCCACCGUUAAAAGCAGAAAACUUUCACAUGAAAAAGGUCAACAAAUCGUACGAUUCUCGCGAACCCCAAAUCAUAUCAGCGCCAAAAGCGGGUUACCUUUUUGUCCGUCCGAUUAUCCUCACAAUCUAUCCAAAUCCCGACAGCGACUGCACGCUAACAUCUCCUCGCAGUUUAUUUUUUAAUGUUCUUGGCCAAAUAUUAGUUAAUGAUUUAUUUUAGUGGGGGAUUUUGUCAUUUUUUGUACGUAAGAAGUGGACUUUUGUCUUCUGUCUUCUCAAGUGUAUGGUUGACAGUCACGAGAAGAGACCUUUUUAUGUUAUACUCAUUCAUCCUGUUUUUGUGUAUAGUCUUUCCAAAAACAAACAUAUUUCUGUUGAUAUGAUGAAAUUUAUUAAAUUUUGGUUUAAUCGAGUUGCGAGGUAAUCAAAUUAUGAACAAUAAUUCAUUUCGUUGCGUUAGCUCAAUAUCGCCCAUUCAAAAGGUUGCACAUGUGAGUAAGCCCAAAUCUUGUCGGAUAAGUAGGGUAAAUUUAAAUGAUGUUAAGCAGUUGAAUAUAAACAUUCAUAUUUCCACUCACAUUGUCGUAGGUGGAUAAAUGAGAUUCGAGAUAUGUAACUCAUAUGAUAUUUAACUGACAUGUGUCCAUCGAAAUAAAUACACAUCGCCGAUCAUUAACAUUUGCGGAGAAACCUUCCGACCCAAAACCUCAAAAAAAAAUCUGCUCAUGGGAAGUCACCAUUAGCAUGGAGAAAUCCAACCUAAUUUUGUAUGAAAAAGGAAAGAUUAGGGGUAAAAAAAAUUCAUCCAAAAAGUAGAAAGUAAAAUAAAAUGAAGAUGUGAAAAAAGAGACAAAAAGGACAAGCCUGCUGUGGGCAUUAAUGGUAGAUAAACUGUUUGGUCAUGCUGCCAUGAUUUUUUAUAAGACAUUUCAUUAUUUCAUAUGUUUUAAUUAUUAAUAUCAGACCAAGUGAAAAAAAAACAAGAGCCAAUAAUAGAAGAUCCAAAUGACAAACUACUCUUGGGGUAAAAUGAUAAUAAAACAGUUAAAAAAUUACUGUGGUUUGAAGUUUGAACUUCAAAUAGAUUAUAUAAGCAUACAUCAAAUUACAAUGGGUAGAAAAAUAACCGAUUCACAUCAUAAUUGAAUUUGUUCUUACUUUUGUUAAUAUCGUCGAUAUAAUUGUUUUCACGGUGUAUAAACGUUUUAUGCACGUAAUACAAUCAUUUUAUGCCAACAAAUGCAGUGGAGAUGGUAGACUGCGCAUACAGCUUGUCUAAAGUGUCAUGUUAGAUCAUCGAUUUGACAUCCACGCAUUGUAACAAGUAUCAACUAAGAGUUGGGACUGGAGUUGGACUUCACACACCAUGUUAUACAUUGAGUCUUGAAACUGAACCGAUAUUUUUCCUAUCAUAUUAAUUGAAUGACAAAUAAUAAGUUUUUUGUUAUGACAUAAAACUAACAAAAAUCACAUACAACACAUCCUCAUUUAUGGUUUUAAUUGGUUAGAAUAUGAGCAAAUUAAAACAAAUGAGUAACAUCUCAAGAAUAAAUAUUACAAGAUACCCUCAUCUCACUCUUAAUGUUUAAGAUUCUACCAUUGUUUGAUACCAUAGUGUGGCCACCAAACAAAAUAUGAAGUGGGAUUAAGACAAACUUGAUGAUGGAAGCUUGAUAACAAAACUUGAUGAUGUAAGCUUGAUUAAGACAAGCAUAUGCUUGAUAACAAACAUAUAUAUGCUUUCAAAAUGUUGUCUAUACAGAUUCAUAUAGCUUUCAUUACGAGAAGAUAACAAGCUUGCUGACUAAAUUGCGAUUUCAACACUUAUUCGUACUUUACAUAAAAAUUAGAUGACUCUGUAACGAUCUUUGUGAAACACCAUUUGGCACCAUUGGUCACUAUCAAACUUCUCUACUUGCCCUAUACUAACAUAACCUAACUACUUAAAAAAAAGUCAACUCCCAAUAUUUGCCUAAACUUUCACCAUUCAUUGAACAUCAUAACAUAGCCAACAAGAAGAUGCCCUUUAGGUGGUCAAUAAUUUAGCCCCCAUUGAGAAAAAAAGUCAGCCUACAAACAACAGUCCUUUUUCUUGCUAUAUUAUUAUCAACUUAUGGAAAGUUAUGAGCCUUUUUGGCUGGUUCCAACACCAACCCUCAAAAUUGCUGCAAUAGAUUCCCAAAAGCCACACCCAUGCCUCCACUUUUAUUUGGUGAAAUACUCUGGUGGUCACUUAACUUUGGUGCUUGUGUCAAAGUUGUCAUUCAAGUUUUUGAAAUUUUGAUGAACUCAGUCACCUAACUUUAGCCGUUGUUACACAAUGGCGUCUUCUGCCUUUUAUGGUCUGUUGGCGUCAAUAUAAGACCAUGAUGGUCGGAAAUUAUGUGUACGAUUUAAAGUUUGGAGUGAGUUUAGAAGCACGUUGGAUAAAAUUUGAAAUCACAUUAGACAAAAAAAUUUGUGCGGUGGUCUAGAUUCGCUCUCUCUUGAUUUCAUCAUUGAAAACAAGACAUGUAACUAAAAUUAUGAUUAUUGUAUUCUAACUUCAUCGCCAUAUUCUACGUGAAAUCAACCAUACAUAAAGUGUGACAGGUCUAUGGUAUUGAACCUAUGUAACGUGACUAUUAUGUUACUUUAAUUGUCAUAGGUUGAAUGUAGAGACUAUAACAAUGAAACUUACAAGUUUAACUUAAGUACUUAACUUGCCAUUUUGACACAAGUCCAAACUUAGGUGACCUAUGGAGAAUUUGUAAACCUUGUUUGUUAUUUUAUAAUGCUCCCAAUUCCCAACAACACAUCUCAGUCUCUCUCACUAUCUUCACUCACUGUCCAAAAAGAGUAAAGACUCGAUCUUUCCAUGUUCUUGGUUCAUCAAUGGCUGCCAAAACCCAAACCCACAUCUCCAUCUUCCUCCUUACCUUCACAUUCGUUGCUCUCACUUCAUCUUCAACCGACACAGAAACCCUUCUAACCUUCAAGAGCUCCAUUCAAGAUUCAAGCAACUCCUUGUCAAGUUGGUCCAACAACUCAAAGGAUCAUCACUGUAACUGGACAGGAGUAACCUGUUCAUCAACUCUCUCAGUAACUUCCCUAAACCUCCAGAGCUUGAAUCUCUCAGGAGAAAUCUCUGCCUCCAUAUGUGAACUUAGAAACUUGACUGUUCUCAACUUGGCUGACAAUCUCUUCAACCAGCCUAUCCCACUUCACCUCUCAGCUUGCAGCUCUUUGGAGACACUGAAUCUGAGCAACAACCUGAUUUGGGGCACGAUUCCUGAUCAGAUUUCUCAGUUCCAGUCCUUGAAAGUAUUGGAUUUGAGCAGGAAUCAUAUCGAAGGAAGGAUUCCGGAUGGUUUGGGAGGGUUGACGAGCUUGCAGGUGCUUAAUUUGGGUAGCAACUUGCUUUCUGGUAAUGCACAUAAGGUGUUCGACAAUUUGACUGAACUAACUUUGCUUGACUUGUCUGAGAAUCCUUACUUGGUGAGUGAGAUCCCUGCUGGCCUUGGGAAGCUCGAGAAGCUUGAGCAGAUUCUGCUGCAGAACUCCGGGUUUUACGGUCAGGUUCCUGAUUCAUUUGUUGGGUUGAAAAGUUUGGUCAUUUUGGAUUUGUCACAGAACAAUUUAAGUGGUGUGUUUCCUCAGAAGUUUGGUUCUUCUUCUCUGGAGAAUCUUGUUUCCUUUGAUGUCUCGCAGAAUAAGCUUGUGGGUUCAUUUCCAGAAGGUUUGUGUAAUAAUGCCAAAGGGCUGGUUAGUCUUAGUUUGCAUACCAAUUUUUUUAGUGGGGUAUUACCAGCUACUUCCAUUGAUAAAUGCUUGAACUUGGAGAGGUUUCAAGUUCAGAACAAUGGCUUCUCUGGCGAUUUCCCAGAUGGGUUAUGGUCAUCUAGCAAGAUCAAACUGAUUAGAGCUGAAAACAACAGGUUCGAAGGGAGGAUACCGGACUCGAUAUCGAAUGCUGCUCAACUUGAGCAAGUUCAGAUAGAUAACAACAUGCUGAGCAGCGAGAUUCCUGGCGGGAUCGGGUUGGUCAAGACGUUAUAUAGAUUCUCAGCAUCUCAGAAUCGUCUAUAUGGCGAAUUGCCCUCAAGUUUUUGCGACUCUCCUGUGAUGAGCAUCAUGAACCUCUCCCACAAUUCUCUAUCUGGCACCAUUCCACAGCUCAAGAACUGCAGGAAGCUAGUUUCGUUGUCACUGGCUGAGAACAGUUUCAAUGGAGAAAUCCCGGAUUCCCUUGCUAAUCUGGCCGUGCUUACUUAUCUCGAUCUUUCGCACAACAAUCUCACAGGCUCCAUCCCUCAGGGGCUUCAGAACUUGAAGCUUGCUCUCUUUAACGUGUCGUAUAACCAGUUAUCCGGUCGAGUUCCUUUAGCUCUCAUUUCGGGCCUCCCGGCUUCUUUCAUGGAAGGAAACCCUGGCCUAUGUGGCCCUGGAUUGCCUAGCUCAUGUCCAGAUGAGCUUCCAGUUCGCCACCAUCGUAACGGUCCUAAUGCAUUGGCAUUUGCUCUAAUAACGGUUGCAUUUGUCGUUAUGGUUUUGCUUGUUACAGCUGGAUUCUUCGCUUUCCGUCGAUCUAGUUCUCGGUGGAAGCUUCAGGCUGCAGGUGGUUGGCAUUCAGUGUUCUUCUACCCUCUGAGGGUCACUGAGCACGAUUUGAUCGUGGCAAUGAACGAGAAGAGCGCGAGGGGAAGUUGCGAUGGAGGAGCAUUCGGUAGAGUGUAUGCUAUAACUCUACCUAGUGGUGAGCGUGUUGCUGUAAAGAAGCUAGUGAAGAUUGGUAGCCAGUCAUCAAAGUCACUCAAGGGUGAAGUGAAGACAUUGGCCAAGAUCAGACACAAGAACAUUGUCAAAGUUCUUGGCUUUUGUCAUUCUAAUGAAUCCAUCUUUCUGAUCUAUGAGUACUUGGAGAAGGGAAGCUUAGGGGAUUUGAUUCGUGGGGACCCGGGUUUUGAGCUGCAGUGGAGUUCAAGGCUGAGGAUUGCCAUUGGAGUUGCUCAAGGGCUAGCUUACCUCCACAGGGACUAUGUACCACACUUGCUACAUAGAAAUGUCAGGUCCAACAACAUUCUUCUGGAUGCUGAUCAUGAACCAAAGCUCACAGAUUUCGGUCUCGACAGAGUCGUGGGAGAGCCGGCGUUCCAAUCGACCAUAGCUUCGGAAUGUGCCUCUUCUUGCUACAAUCCUCCUGGUAAGCUAUUAGAAAACGUUCAAGGUUAUGAAUCACUACUGUUUGUUAAUGAAUAAUAUAAAAACCGAUCUCAACUCUCUUCCAACAACUUGAGUUAUCGGGAUGCAAUGAUUUUUGGUUUGACACUGUCUACGAGCUAAUCCAUUAUCCAUAACCAUUUUCGUAGAAUAUGGAUACAGCAAGAAAGCGACUGAGCAAAUGGACGUAUACAGCUACGGAGUGGUGCUACUAGAGCUAGUAACCGGAAGACAAGCCGAGCAAGCAGAACGCUCUGGCGAGGGAUCGAUCGAUAUCCUGACAUGGGUCCGAAGGAAAAUCAACAUAGCUAACGGAGCAACCCAAGUUCUGGACCCAAAGAUAUCGAGCUCCUCGCAGCAAGAGAUGCUGGCAGCUCUAGACAUUGCACUUCGAUGCACCUCCGUGAUGCCCGAGAAAAGGCCAUCCAUGUGCGAGGUUGUUCGAGCGUUGCAGUCCCUGAACACGACUACGAGGACGCUCUGCUAUGUUCGUGAAAAUGCGGAAUUUGAUGAGGAACAUCAUGUGCCUGCAGUUUGAGACAUCAUGUGACAUUGAACAGAAAAGGGGCUAGAUGUUAUUGCUUGUUUGAUGUUUUGUGUUCUGUUGUUUUGUCUUGCUUGGUGUUUUGUAAAUGGUUUUGGUUGUUUUGGUUCAUUUGUUUGUAUAUGAUGAUGCUGUGAUGUUCUGCCAACCAGAAGAUGUUCCAAUAUUAUGAUUCACCAUGUACCAUUUUGUUCAAUUUCUAUCUAGCGAAUACACAAAAUUAGUUCAACCUAAUGAUUUGUGAGACAUCAUCAAAAAGAAUUUUACAUGAGAAGAAAUUAAAAAUAGAUGUUUCGUCAUGAGAAUGAGGAAUACCAUUAGACCUGUAUUCUCUCUAUCGUAAAUAAAGCGAUAUCUGAACCAAUAAAUACCAUGUCCGUUAUCUUUUCAACCUUCAUACAAAUGAUUCAAAUCACCAAUUGAGUGAUUGAUUAACAAAAAAAGUAAGUUAUCUGCAAGUAUUACUUUUUUUCAACAAUUNNNNNNNNNNNNNNNNNNNNNNNNNNNNNNNNNNNNNNNNNNNNNNNNNNNNNNNNNNNNNNNNNNNNNNNNNNNNNNNNNNNNNNAUAUGCAAGUAUUACUUUUUUUAACAAUUUCUUCAGAGAGUCGUUUUUCAUUAAAAAUUGUCUCACAUACUGAAAAACAAGUGGCGUAAAAUAAUAAUUUGCAAAAAAAUUAUCAAUCCUAAACCAAUUGAGUGAUUGACUAACAAAAAAGACUAGUUAUAUACAAUUAUUAUUUUUUUCAAUAAUUUCUUUAGAGAGCAAUUUCUCAUAAAAAUUAUCUCACAUAAUAAACGACAAAUAACGCAAAAGAAUUAUCAUCUUAAACAAAAAAAUCACCAUGAACGCAAAUCCAUUGUAAAUACACUAAUUACUCAUACCCACAAAGGUUUUUACUUGUAUAAACAAACCCAUCUCUCAGUUUCUAAACCCACCAACCCAAAAAAAUCAUCUUUGUAGCUUUAGAGUUCUCUCCUCCGAUCUUUCAAGGCAAAGUUUUCAACUUUUCAAGUUGGUUUCUUCAGAGUUGUGUUCUUUUAUACUAUCAGUCAUUUACCCUUUUUCAUGUAAAAAAAAGUCAUUUACCCUUUUACAAAGAUUGUCAAUUUUAUGCAGCUGGGUCACUCAAGAACAAUGGUUUCUCAUCACCCCAGUGACUGCUUACCUUGUCUUAAAAUUGCAGCAAUUAAUCAGUUGUUGAGUUGGGAUCCUUUCGAUCAAUAUCUAGUUGACAGUGGCACAAGGUAUGACGAGUUUGUGACGACUUGUUAAUGUACGUAGUCAAGGUAACAAGCAAGAUGUGGUAACGGUUGUAAACUGAUAAAGAUAUUUGUAUUUUCUUUCUGAAUGAAUGCUUAUAACAGGAGUGUCGAUCCUCAACUAUAUAGUUUUAUCUUCGAUGGCUCUAUCUUCAAUAGUUCUAUCUUAAAAAAUAUCAUCUAUAAAAGUGAAGAUGUCAACUACCACGGAGUCACGAGGUAAAUGUUUUUCCUUAUCGCAUAUUUACAACGAAUUAAAUCCUAUUGAUAGAAUCACUUGAGUUUGAAUCAUCAUUUUAAUCAUAUUCAUAACCUAUAAUUCAAAUUUUUCGACCGGUUUGAAGCAUAUGUGGUGGAUAAUUCUGAUAAUUCUAAUUCAGAUUUCCCUCUAAACAAUCAAAUAUUUAUAUAUAGAUUUAUCUAUGUGACUAACUCUUCUUUGUUUAUUUAUUUUCAACCAAAUUCUAUGAAGUUUUUCUUGGUAAGUGAAAUAACACAAUCAAUUCUAUAAUUAAUUAUUUUAAAAAGUUUAAAAAAAAAAAAAUACUUGUAAAUUUCUCUCAAUGUUGUUGUAAUCCCUUAAUUUUCCGGUGAAAAUUAGAUCGAUUAAUUUGAUCAGAGAUUUGGAUAAGUCGAUAGAUAACCGUGUAACAUUAAUUCAAGACGAACAGAUCAUGUCGAAAUUGUUAAUAAGUCAAACCAUGUCAUGAGUAAUGACUCUAAGUCUGCAACAAGUAAUUUUUACCAGUUCAUUUUUUAGGUAACAGGGUAUGAAGAGGAUUUGAAGCAAAUGAAGAACAUGUCCAAACAUGAAUAUAUAAAGUCACUUAAGAAGUAAGACAAAAGCACACCAAAUUCAUUAUUUCUAAUGAUUUUUUUUUAAUUCCUAUUUUUUUCAAAUUUCAUUAUUAAUUUGUUCACAGAUCGAUUAGAGCACACACCAACCGAGUCUCUUGGUAUUGAGGAGUAACAUUCAAGUAAUAAUUUAUUAUAUCGUUAUCUACCGUUGUCAUGUACAUUUACGAGACAUCAAAAUAAUGUUACAAUUUUUGCCACACAAUUCCUAACAACAUUGUUUGCAUUCUUCUGAUUUCCCCAGAAGGCCUGCAGAUGGAACCCUCACAAAAUAUUGUGGGAGGUGGAACUUGAAAACUUCCCUGGACUUCCCCUUGGAAAAUUCGGUAAAAAUACAUGUUCUGUCAAAAAGAUCGAAUCGAUGAAACUAAUAGUUUAACGAAAUGCUUAACCUUAACCCGGGAUUAUGAUCGCAUGACCUUUGGAUGCAGAGACUGAAAAAGAGGCCGCAAGGGCCUAUUACAUAGCUGCAAUCAAGGUCAAUGGAAGGAGGGCAACCACCAAUUUUGGCCUCCAACAGUAUAAUGUCAAAAGGAGCGGAUCAUCGACAGCACGAGUCUGCCUAGUGGUUCUAAAGGAGCGUACACACACAGGGCGAACAUCGUUCUUCUGCGCGAGUGCAUUGUAAACCGGCCUAAUUCUCCAGCCGAUUUCACUGAUGAACAGCCUCAGCCUCAGGAUGCUGCCUCUCAGGCUGAACAGCCUGCUGUUGCUACUCCUGACAAUAUUGCAGCUGGGGAAGGAAGCUCUGGAGUCAUGUCUAUGUAACAGUCUCGACAUCUUUCUGUCUGUCUGUCUGUUCGAAUAUCUUAUGUUGUUUGGUUUUUAUGCCUCAUUCCCAUGUAGAUUAAUGGAUACAAACUGAAAGGCAAUGUCUCAGUUAAUGUCAUAGUUUUUCACCAUUUGAUAAUAAUAAUUCAAUUUUCAACUAGUAUUCGCAACAGCAAACUGUACCUUGUUGUACAAGAAAGAUCGGAACUUUUCGGCUCAUGGAGGAACCCGAGUUCUGGAACCAACGCUUUCCAAUACUUCUCACCAAAGGGUUGUUAGGGUCACUGUUAUUUGAGAACUCUGUUCAGGAAUUUUAUCCAUAGUUGAAGAUCAAUACGAUGAUGAUGCUAGCUGUGUGCCUAGUUUUGUUUGGUGACCAAAUUGUAAAUUAUAUAAGUACAAGGAUCAGUUAAGAGAAAUUCUAACCCAACUCUCUGAUUGAUUAAACAUUGUUUCCGAACCCUACUAUCUCGAGUCGUUAACGUUAAACGUUUUUAAAUCACCAUUGACGAAUAAACAAAAGGCAGGAUAUCUAAAACUAUCACUUUAGUUAAAUACUUAUUGAAUACAAAUAAAAACAAAGAUGACAAAAAGGACCUUUAUUCUCUAUCUACCGAAUACCAUGUCCGUUAUCUUUUCAACCUUCAUAACAAAAUCCAAAUCAUCAAUUGACUAAUAAGAAAAGGCAAGUUAUCUAAAAUUAUUAUUAUUUUCAACAAUUUCCUUACAUGACGGUUUCUCAUUGAAAAUUAUCUCGCUUGCUGACGACGCGUGGCGUGUAAUAAUAACAUGCAAAAAAAAAAAUCAAUUCCAAAUCAAAAUUAUAAAAUUUAUUCGCCAUUAAUGAAAAUUUAUUAUAAAUACACUUACCAUAAGACUCAAACCCAAUAUUUUUUUUUGCCUAUAUAAACAAACCCAUCUCUCAAUCCAAAACCCACCAACUAAAAAAAUCAUCUUUGUAGCAUAGCAUUGGCUUUAAUUUAAAGUUCUCUUCCAAAUUUUCAAGGCAUAGCUUUCAACUUUUCAAUUUAGUUUCUUCAAAGUUGUAGCUAGGUCACUCAAGAAAGAUGAUUCAUCACCCAAUUACAACAAUUAAUAGGUAUCCGAGGUGGGACCCUUUCCGUCAAUAUAUAGUCGACAAUAACACAAGGUACACAGAGGUUGUAAUGACUUCAUUGAUGUACGCAAUCAAGGGGUAAUAGGAAAGACGCAGUUGUAAACUGAUAGAGGUAUUUGUUUUUUCUCUAUGAAUUAAUGAAUGCUAAUAGCAGGAGUGUUGAUGAUCACCACUCAUAUAAUUCUANNNNNNNNNNNNNNNNNNNNNNNNNNNNNNNNNNNNNNNNNNNNNNNNNNNNNNNNNNNNNNNNNNNNNNNNNNNNNNNNNNNNNNNNNNNNNNNNNNNNNNNNNNNNNNNNNNNNNNNNNNNNNNNGGUAAGUAAAAUAACACAAUCAAUUCUAUUAUUUAUUUUAAAAAGUAAAAAAAAAAUACUUAUAAAUUUCUCUAUUUGAUGUUGGAAUUUGCAGGAGGAUUUGCUGAUGUUGUCAUGGCUGCUAGAUCUCGUGACUUGCUUGCUCUCAAGAUUUUCGGGACAUCUAUCGCCUUGAAUUUUCCUGUGAGAAUUAGAUCAAUUAAUUUGAUAUGAGAUUCGGAUAAUUUGAUAAAUAAUAAAUGAAAUAAAACUCGCAUUUAAUUCAACAAUGGUAAAGAAAAAAAAUCAAAAUGUAAAAAAUGGGUUUAGUACAUGAUGAAAUUAAGACCUUCAGUCCCCUAUCACAAUCCGGAAUAAGUCGACAGAGUUAUGUCAAAAUUAUCGUUAUAUUAGUUAUUAUAAAUCGACCAAUAAUUGUGUAACAUCAAUUCGAAACGAACCGAUCGGUCAAACUAUAUUACGAGUAAUGACUCGUAAGUCUCCAACAAGUUGUUACCAAUUCAUUUUUGUUCUUGUAGGUCACAGAUUAUAAAAAGGAAUUGGAGGAGAUGAAUAACAUGUCCAAAGAUGAAUAUAUAAAGUCACUCAAGAAGUAAGAAAAAUUAACUCACAAAAUUUAUCAUUUUUAAUAAAAUUUUUAAAGUUCUUUUUAUUGAAUUUUAUCAUUAAUUUGUUCACAGGUUGACUAGAUCAAACACCAGGCGUGUCUCCCAGUAUCGAGGAGUAACCUUCAAGUAAUCUUUUAUUAUAUCGUUAUCUAACAUCGUCAUGUACUUUUACGAGACAUCACAAAAAUCUUACGAUUUUACUAUUAAAAUUUACGGUUACAAUGUCUCCCUGACAACAUUUUGUUUGGCAUUUUUUCGGGUUUUUCCCAGAAGGCCUGCAGAUGAUAACCCUCAGAAGAUCAGGUGGGAGGCGAAACUCGAAAAAGCAAAAGACUUCCCUGCACUUCCCCUUGGAAGAUUCGGUAUAACAUGUUCUGUCAAAAAUAUCGAAUCGAUGAAACUUACAGUAUAACGAAAUGCGUAACCUUAACCCGGGAUUAUGAUAACAUGACCUUGGAUGCAGAGACUGAAAAAGAGGCUGCAAGGGCCUAUGACAUAGCUGCAAUCAAGGUCAAUGGAAAGAAGGCAACCACCAACUUCGGCAUCGAACACUACCAUGUCAAUCGGAUCAUCGACAGCAUGAGUAUGACCGGGUACAAAUACUGGGCGAACAAAGUUCUUCUGCGAACCUGCUUUAAAAACCGGGCUAAUUCUCCAGCCGAUUUCGCUGAAGAUCAGCCUCAGGCUCAGGAUGCUGUUGCUGCUCCUGAUAAUGCAGCAGGGGAAGGAAGCUCUGGAGCCAUGUCUAUGUAACAAGCUCCAACUGUCUGUCUGAUGGUCGGUCUGUCUUGUCUGUCUGUCGAUUGAAUAUCUUAUGUAGUUUGUUUUUCGUGCCUCAUCUCCGUGAAGAACGGAUAGAAACUGGGAGGCAAUGUCUCAAUGUUGAAUUGUUAACCAUUUAAGUUUGAGCAAGUUGUUUCAAUUAGUGAUGCUAAUAAUUGCACAAUAUGAUGAGUCUGUAACGAGUUAUUGAUGUGCACAGUCGAGGAAGACGUGGUUGUAAUAGGACAAUGUUGAAAGCUGCCUAUCUAUUGAAUAUCUAAGUAGAUGUAAUCCCUCACUCCUAUGCAAAUUUACUCCAUUAAUAAGAUCAGUAGUAGAAGAGACUUCUUUUCUAUUAACUUACCCAACACGAAACCCACGGAGUUUAUACAAGAACGAUCGACGAUUUUUCGCUACUUAUUCUUUCUCAUACUCUAUUUACUUUUGAUUUCUGAUGGUGAUCAUAAGAAAUCACAGACAGAAGCUGAACAUAAGAGCCCGAAGGACAACGUUAUCAAUCCAAUCAUACACAUAGACCUGAAACUACUACUAUACCCAUCUACAUCAACCGUGUCAGCCAGACCAGACCUCUCGAAGAAGUUGGUACCGUGCAUUCGAAGUAACCUUGGGCUCGCUGUGCUUCCCGUUUCCAUUUGUUACAGAUGGUCGCGACUUCUCGAGUAAGGAGACGAGAGGAGAAUCCAGUUCUUCCAGCUCAUCAUCGCUAGUGUAUCCUUUCCUCUGUACAACCGAGGCAUUUCUUGAUAGCUGAGAUUUGGCGCCAGCCUCUGCAACUUUCUCCGAUACUGCGUCGCAAGAAGGUGGCAUGUAGAAGACUGAUGCAGCCGAGUAAGGGAAGCUCCGCGUGGAUUCACCUGAAAGCUUGCGCUCCACGAUGCUCUUCACGGCCCCAAAAAACAGUAAGCAAAAUAAAAAGAAACGAUUUUUACUGUGAAAUUUAAGCUUAGCAGAGGAAAGUAGAAACCAUACAUCAGCAUUCAAGGCCUCCAGUACAGCACCAGGGACAGCAUCAGGACAGAACUCGUCUGGAGUAAAAUUGCAGAGUAUCCGCUUCACCAAUGGAAGACCAAUUGACGGGCAAACCUACUCGAGAAGAAAUGAAUCAGCUCUGGUUCAGUUCCUCAUCAUAAGAAGUUCCUAAAAAGCUUACCUCUUUCCUCACUGAUCUGUCAGCUAGAAAGUCUUUUGGAAGCAUAAGAAGAUCACUCAAGUCGUUAAGCAGAUUGAAGCACUUGGGUUUCGUGUAUUGUCUAUCAUCAUCAUCGUUCUCAAAAAUCUCCUCAUCAUCGAUGCCCACUGCAUCCGAGAGCCAUCUCGACCAGUUCCCAACCUGCAUGGAAAGAGAAGAAAGUGAGCUAGACUGCACAGCGACAUGGAUAUGAAGAAUUGAAGGUGCAAUUUUAAAAGUUUAAAUAUGGUAUAAGAACAAUACAGAAUUCUUUAGUUGUGCUCCAGAGCCAAAGCUCAAGUCUCCCGCUGGUAUAGGAAGAACCCUGGAAUCUACAAUCGGGUCUGAUACAGGAUCAGUUGGGAUCUCAUUUGCCGACUCUCGUAGAAUUGCAUUGAACAUUGCUACAUCCAGUCUGUCAACACACUGCUCCAUAACCUGCAGAAAAAUCAUUUCAAUUUCAGAAUAGAUAGCUGAAAGUAUCGGCAAGUAUAUUACAUUAAGGUGGGAGGCUACUGUACCAUUUUAGCUACAACAGGCAAACAGCCGCACUCAUGCCCUCCAGCUCUAACUGGACAGAUUCGUCGAAACGCAUCUUGGAAAGCAUUUUUCCAUAGGUUGAUGGCGAAGUUGCCUUGCUGCUGAUCUCCGAGUGCCGGUCCAAGUAGCCUCGAACUACUUUUAUUCGCCGACAAGUCCUUCUUUGGGGGUUGCAUAUGUGGAGUCAAGGCCUAGAAUAUCACGAAAGGUAAAAGGUCAGAUGAUAAAACAUGUUUCCGGCAUUCUGUCUAGCAAGUGCAUUCCUUACCUGCCACCAGACUGACUCAACGAUUCGUGAGAAAAUCCACGAUUCAACUUUCUCCAGGGCAUCAGUGAAGGUUCCAGUCUCCUGCCAGUCCUCAGCAAACUGUGAACAUCCACUACUACCUUGUUUCCUCUUCAUCAACCUUGAUAUACUAGAGUUACAAGAACUACCAAACGCCUGGGAAAUGAUCUCCCUCAGCACGAUUGUGUUCGACAGCCAGAACGAUAACCUUCGAAAUGGUGAAAUGAAUGUUAGCGUAUAAUUCAUCACAAAAGGAUCAAAAGUCAAUUUCAACACAGUAAAGAUUGCUCAUUUGUCAUUGUUACCUUGGAACAUCAGUUCCGCAUGAUUUAGAUAUCAGUACCAGCCCUGACACGGUGUUCUUAGCAAUGGUGGCUCGUCUAUCCAGGGUCCAAUGCUUGCCCGCAUGGAUGUAGAGUCUCGAAAGACGGCGAGCAGGUGUGUGCACCUUAUGUGCCGAGCUACCAUGUUCAGGUACAACAGAAUAUAGCGAGAUCUCAAGGGCAGCAACUUCUCUCAGUUCUGCUUCAAGUUUCUCAAUUUUCAACUCCAUUUCUUUGAUCCUUUGGUUUACGACUGUGCUGCCAUCACCAGUUUCCUCAACAUCAAUCGUUUCGCCGUCGCUCGCAACACUUUGUGUAGUAGCGUUCGAGGCCUCCUCAAACACCUCAACCUCUUUACCGUCAUCAACGACCAUAUCUUCACCCCCUUCACAAGUUUCAACUGGGAGAUCUCUAACCUCCUUAGCAAUCUUGGUAGAAACCUUAGAUGCUCCAUUACUCGAGAUGGUUGCAGGUUUCUUGGUGUUGUUGUUGCUCAUUGCUUUAGCUACUGGUUUACCAGCUUCCCUAUCCCAUAUUCUAGACCCACCACGAGAACCAGUCUCUUUCGAAGCUUUCUUAGGAACUCUAGUAACUUGUUCUACUCUCUCAUCGUCACCUAUGACCGAAUCCCCACCGUGGGACGACACUGAAUCCGAUUCUUCUUCCUUACCAAGGACGAGCUUUUGUUCUCUCUCGACAUCACUAUCACCUAAACCCAUAUUCCCCUUGGAUUUUGCACUGUUUGGUGGUGCUACCUGAUCAGACCUGUUGACAUCAUCCACAUAGUGUAUAACAACAUUUUCAUAAACCUCCGAGGGCUCCGAUCUCGCAUUCGAAUCACUUACUACUACAGCACUGGAGUCUGGCUUCACAUGUAAAGCUCUGGCUCCAACUUGCCUGUUGCGGCCUUUGCUUUCAGUUCUCGCACCACGUUUCGACUCUGUAGUGUUUGGUGUUCUCCUCUUGUCUGGCUGUUUCAUGGCUUCAGGCUGCCUUCACCUUUCCCAGCAACAAUCAACAGAUCCCAGAAGAUGCUGCAAUGAAGGAAAGAUCAAAACAACCAAAAAAGUUCAGUAACUGAACCUAAUUCGUCAAUGAAAGGCUAAACAAACAAUGUACAUAAUCAAAAUCUACCAUCCUACCUACUAAGGUGAUCUUAAUUUCUCAACAGAAGUCACUUACAAGUUACAACCGAAAGCAAAAAGCUCCUCUUUUUAUAAAACUAGAAAAGUUACUUAUAAUGGCGCUCCCAUUGAGAGCUUUUUUUCAGCUUCUACGGAAUGGACAUUCCAUAACCAAAAUUUGUAAAAUCUAGAAGCAGAACCUUCAAGCUUUGUGAAGAGAAUUCAAAAUCCAGAGCUAGCAAAAAAGAAAGAACACUGCACAGAGUAGAAUGCAGAAGCAAUACCGAUCUAAUCAGGAAAACGGAAUUCUCCUGCCGAUCAAGAAGAACCAGAACAAGAUCUCAAAGAAAAAACCUCCAACAGGGAAGAAAAAAAACGCUAGAGGAAGAUUCCAAACAACUGUAAAAAAUGAACUGGAUACGGAGAAAGCGAAAUCUCACCACAUCUCCACCGCCAUUAAAAUUCUCCAGAGCGAAACAGACAGAAAUGACAAAAAAUCACAAACCAACCACUAUAUUACACCACAGGUCCACAUAAAACGACAAAGAAUAUGGAAGAAAAAGCUGUGUCAGAGAAGAAGAAGAAGAACAAUUGCAGGCAGUAAAAAAAGAAAAAAAAAUGAAAAAGAAACUGACCGGAGGUUAAAAAGGCAAAUGGCUGAAAUCCGGCGGGAACCCCGAUGACUGAUGGCGACGGAAGAGGAAAACCCACGGUCCACUUUCCUUAGGGGAUCAGCUUUCCUCUCUCUCUCUCUCUGAUAAAUGCGAAAUCUUUACUCUUUUCUUUCUCUGGUUUUCUGUGCAGUUGAAGAUGAAUGAAGAAGAAGAAGAAGUGCGGGAAGGAUUAAGGAGUGGGAGAAUUAUUUAAAUCUGCGAUCCGGAAUUUUUUAAUCAAUUAAUUAAUCCCAAAAAGGUGUUUUGGAUUUGACGGUGACCGGUGAAAGAGGGUGUCGGUGGAGGGGGUGGCAACGGGAGUUAUCGGUUGCCGGUUUAUUUACCCACACCCGCCAACCGGCCACCGGCAACCGUGGGAGUUUUUUUCUACCGGGAGAGGGUGGAAGAAGAAAGUAACUGCCGGGUGAAGUGUAAUUUUUUUUUACUGGUGGGGUUUAAAUAGUUAAACGGUCGUUUUUUUAUGUGGAGGAGAAGAUUAGUGAUUUGAAGGGUUUGUAAUUUUUUAAAUUUUUUUGGGGUUGGUUUGGUGAUCCUUCAUAGUCGGGGGAAUUUGGAUUGUGGUUGUCGUUUUAAUGAGUGGGGCAGGUGGAAUGUUGUAAUCUUUGGUUAAUUAGGGAGUAAAUUAUGUUAUGUUGGAAUUUGUUAAUAUUUAAAAUCGGAGAGAUUAGAGUAUAUCAAAGUGCAGGUUAUUUAUGAUCAUAAAGGAAUUUAGUAGGAAGCGGAUGGAGGCGUUGAUGGUGCACAUUGGUCGUAUGAUCAAUUGUACCAGUAAGUUCACCAAUUGACUCGAAGUCUACACUAAUGCAUAUUACGUUUAGAUUCCAAUCUCGAGUCUUUGAAAUGGCGCUCGUAAAUGGAUUCUUCAAGUUACAAAGUAGAAAAGUCAUAAUAUAUUAUUGACUUUGUAACAAAUUUAAAUCGCAAAUCUUAACAAAUUCAAAUCGAAUCAAGUUAUUGAUCAAAUCUCUAAUGAUUGAGACCAAAAGGAAGAAAAUCAUUAAGAAAAGCUUUAAAUAUUCCCCUUGUUGUUUUGUCCCAAGCUUUCCUUUUUAUCUUCAUUCUUUGGCACUUGCCCCCCAGUAUGGCCGUUGGUUAGCAAUUAAUUAGCACUAUAAUUAAACAAAAUUUCUAAGAACGUUUUCUUCUCGUAGUGUGUGCAAAAUUUAUACCACUACCCAUCUUAAUUACUAUACUAACGUAAUAGAUGAAGCUACAAUUAAUCAUUUGUCUCUCUAAUUGAGCUACCUAGUUAACGUUUCAUUUACAACAUGUGAAUAGGGAGUGUUGGUCUUUAACUUGGGGUCAUGGACUUGUGCUACUUGUUAUCCUAUACUCCAAUCCGGACAAAGUCACGCACGAUAUGCCGGAACUAUACCACGAUUUCAGUAUUCAAAACGGAAUAUUGUGUAUGUUGCUCUUGCGCUUGGUCGACUCGUUGAGGUUGUAGACAUUACGCCUGCCAAACUAGGACAUGUUGUCCCGGCCCUAACAUCCAAUCCAAACACAAAAUGGAAGUUUUAACGGUAGAGUAUGUGUGGGUCUAAGGUGUUGCUCUCGAACUUGGCCGUGCCAUUGAGAACGUCCUUAUGUCUCCCGCAAAUCAAGACAUGUUGGAUCUAGGUGAUCGUUCUAACGAUCUGAUCGAGGAACUCAAAGAUCGAACCGACCAACCCUUAGUAUACUUUAAUGAUGCAGAUAUAAAUUCAUAAAUUUGGAAGAUUGUGUUAAAUGUGUUAUGGGGACAUUUUCUGUGACACUGUUGUUAUUCUUCAAUCAAUUUUCUGGAAAUGUUGGAAACUUAAAUGUAUCUGUAAGCCUGGCAUGCAUGUCCCCCCUGAGUCCUGACCCCAAAUCUUCACACUGUUCUUUGCCAUAAGAUUGCAGGCUGGCAAUGCAAUAAUUCAGGAUUUUAAUUUAAUUUGUUUGUCUCUCCAAUUCAUUAUUAAUGCUUCGUUGACUGACUCCUCCCCGACCGAGUUGAAAAUAUUCGACCAGAGAGGAUUGAUCUGACUUCGAAAUUAGUACAUUCUAGGUUGAAAUUGAAAAUGUGUUCAAUGGGUGAGGUGGGAGUUCCAGGAAGUAACUAUACCACGAUGGAAGCCCGGGAGAGUAACUAUGUCACGACGAGAGCUCCGAGGAGUAAUUAUGUCACGAUGGGAGCUCCAGGGAAUAACUAUAGUACGAUUGACAUGAAGUAAAAAAAAGAUCAACCAUCAAAUUGGUGUUAGAAGUUGAAAAGGAAACAAAAAAUGAAGGUGCAAGGAAUCAAACCCCAUGCCUCUCGCAUGCGAAGCGAGUGCGAGCUACACUUUCAUUGUGUGCUCAAUCUCAAAAUUGUUCUACACAUUGCAUAAUUAACAUAGAAAACAACUUCUAGGAUAAUCGUCAAUUUUUCGAACCGGAUAGAAAAGCAACACCCCAAGACUUAUACAAUUAUACUAAUCAUGGUAGAAAAACACCCAAAAUUACAUUCGAAAAAAUAUUACACACUCUAAAAAAUCAACAUAAUGUAAACCAAUCAAAUCGUAACAGACCAAUAUAAGCAUACGCAUAAACCAACGAAAAACAAUGUAUCCAAUUAGUAAGGUACUCUACAAUACAAUUACUCUCACAAAAAUGAAUAUCACAGAAAACAUUUAAACGAUAUACGCAAUCAAUCAUACAUUAUACAAACCGAUAAACGAGGAAAUCUACGACGAAAUUACCCUUGUCCUCCUCGAGUGAAAAAGAGUAUCCAUCCAUCAUGGAAACAUUGCUUCUACGUUUGAUGCAGUCAGGAUCAAGAACUUGAAAGACAACAUGGCUAUGGAGUCGAACUCAAACAUGUUCUUUCAAAACUUGAAACACAAUGCUGAUUUCCUUGCAGGCCACUAUGAGUUGUCUGUGCAUCAAUUCAGCUAACACGUGACUUAGUCGGUGAUCUGCAUCACACCAAUUUCAAAGGGAACCCUUUUUUUUUGUCCCAAAAAGCAAUAUCACCACUUGCUCUUUCUCCUGAAUGAGAUUUGUUUUCGACUUAGUGCUUAUCGUGUCACAACUAAGUCGGGAAUUAUUCCGACUUUUCUCAUUCUCUCGCCUCGUGUACAAAGUUAUAUGUAAAGGUUCGAUUGUUUCGUGUUUUGGCUAGUGAUAUUUGAAAUUCUACUCUCCUAUUUAUUUAUUUACGCUAAGUAAUAAUUAUAAAAUUUAAACUCAUAAUCAAUGUAGUAUUAAUAAGUAAUAUCAUAAAUUUAGUUCAUAUUUCAAUCCCGAUUCGGUCACGAAAGAAUUCACUCGAAAUCAUCACAUCAGUUGACACCGUAUGAUAAUGCAAGUUCUUCUGCGGGUACCUUUGCAAAAUUCUCAGACUGAUACUGUCCUCUGUUACACAACUUGUACCCCAAGUAAUGUCCCGAAACAUGAACCGAAAACCAGGGAAUUCGGGCAGCCAGAGAACGUCAAACUUGGUAUGUACAACACGUAAGUUAGCUGAAGAGGUAAAUGAGCAAGCUUUCCAUGUCAGCUUCAUUCAUAUCCCUCAAGAAACAAGCUUUUCUUACCAUUGGAACCAACGAAUCCUGCCGCAAAAACACCAAAGACAUUCCUCCAUUACGUUCACUGUGAUUGAAUGAAACCAACAAACAAAGGAGAAGACCAAGUGAUCAACAACACUAUUUCGUUAUUCAGCACAAAAUUACAGACGUAAUUCGUAAACCAGCAGUGUAUCAUCUCAAGAACAGCCAUGAUUCUCUGGUUCAAACUGCUUCGGACCAACUUAUCGAGCAAGUGCGUCAAGAAUCAAACUUUCACUUACAAUUUGAACCAAUGAAUCCUGCUACAAAACACCCAAGACAUUCCGACAGAACGUACACACCAUUCAAUGAAACCACAAAUGAAUAAGAUCAACAAAGACAGUCAGAGUUAAUUCAGCACAGAAUCACAGCCAGUAAAGAGCAUCGAUCCGUAAAUAGCCAUGAUCUUGCCAAUCUAUUAAAGAAACAAGCACCAUCACCGCUAGACCAAGUUACUUCAGCAAUCAAAUUGAAGAGGCAGCAAAACCAGACCAGCUUUAGCCGGUAAGUACCUCAAGAUCCAGACUUUCUUACCAUUUGAACCAGCGAAACCUGCUGCCAAUCACCAUGACAUUCAUACACAACCUACAUUAUCAAUCAUUGAAACGAAACAACAAACAAAUGAGAAGAUCAACAACAAAAUUCGCUAAUUCAGCACAGAAUCACAGUCGGUUAAAAACCCGUAAUCCUCAAACCAGCCUCCAUAUCACCUCCGGAAUACUUUUGAUAUUGUCAAUCUAUUCAAGAAACUACCACCAUCAUAACUCAGAACAAGUUGCUUAAGUAGAACAAAAUAACAUUCGUCAAUUCAGCACAGAAUCACAGCCAGUAAGGAGCCGUAGUUCGUAAGCUAGCUACAGUAUCAUCUCCACAUUAGCCAUGGCAUUGCCAAGAAACAAACCAUCAUCAUCACACUCAGAACAAGAUUGGCAAUGCCAUUUAUAAUGAAACAUGAAACUUUAGAAGUUAUUAUCCGGAACAAAAUUCAAACAACAACAGCUAGAUGUUGCAAACACUUUUGAAAAACUCUUCAGAGAUUUCAAAUCCCCCACUCAAAAAGUCAAAACCUUGUUAUUCCUCUCACUCAGCCUACAUCUCUAUCAACAAAAACUAAACCGAAACAGACUCAAUCUGAAUCAGAGACGGCCAAUUUCUCCAUCUCCAAGCGCUCGAGGGCCUUCUGGUGAGCCCAGGUCUCGAUCGUCAGAUCGGGCUUGGAGUUGAGCCCGACGCCGAGGAUGACGAUUGUCAGGAAGCUGGUGACGUAGCAAGGCAGCUCCCAGUCCUCCCACUUCCGAGACUGCCCCGGAGGCGGCGGCGUCCUGCUGAAGAGGUAUCCUUUCGGCCGCUCCUCAUGUCCCGCCGUCGUGACCCGCCGUCUUGAAUGGGUUGGGUCCGGAGCCGGCGCGCGUCCGGAGGGAUCCGGAAAGCCUACGGCGGAUCGUGCUAGACGCCGAUGUGAACAGUUGCAUCGGAGGCAUUUUCUUUUUUCCCCGGUUAUCCGGCGGGUUUGAGGAUCAAGAAUUCGAGAUCACUGUGUUGUGUUAAUCUAAUGGGGAGAAAUUGAAGAACUCGAUUUCGGGAAGAAGAAAAAUGGAGGAUGAGCUUCAGGACUGAAACUAUGUCGUUUUCGUGCCACAUUUAUAUUGAUUCGUAACCUGAUGAUUUAGCUACGACACAGUACUUUAAGCUAUCACUAGUGCGGAU
rnacentral:lncRNA from 1 species